UUUUUUUUUGAUGUGUUGUUUUAGUUUUUUUAAAGAAAAAAAAGCAGCGAUUUUUAAUUUUAAAAAAAAAAUAUUUUUUUUUACAAAAUCUCUGCCACAGCAGCGAUUUUUAAUAAAAAAAAUAAAAAAAUUUUUUAGACGAAAUCGCUGCUAGGGCAGCGAUUUUGCCCUUUUGGCUAAAAUAAAAAGUGAUGUGCCCUUUUGGAAUUUUUGACCAUUUUUUUUGCCCUUUAGGCUCCGGACUCUGAAGUGUUGGGCCCGUAUUGACACAAGUCAUGCCCAUCUAGUAAUGUUUAAAAACUUGAGUUAUGCCUUUUGAGGCAUAUUUUGUUUUUUUUUUAAAAUUAUUUGGAAGAUAAAGAAAUUUGGUAGAUAAUAUGGGAUGAUGGUAGGGUAUAUGUGUGAGUUUGUGUGUUAUCUUAAAGCAUACAUUAUUCCUCAUGGCAUAUGAUAUAUGUCAUUUACGACAUAACUCGUGAAAUAUUAAUCUUUUAAUUUAUAUUAUAAUUUAUUAUGUCUUCUACGUUAUAACUCGUAGGAAAUUAUGAUACAAUCAUAUAAACCUGUGCUUUUGUUAUUUAGUAUCCGGAUAUUUUCAAGGGAAAAAUUUCAAAACAACAAUAUUUUAGAUUUUAGUGGGACUCUUAGCAACAAUUUCAUUAUUUAUUAAAAAUGUCAUUAUUUUAGUUUGUUAAGGGAUUAGUUAUGUAUUUAUUUUAUUUUGAUUAAUUUGAAAGAAUACAAAAUAAUUAAUAACAAAACAGAGAAAAUCAUGGAACAAAAAAUUCAAAAAAGGUAAAAAAGAUUUUAAAUACAAAUCAGUUACGUUUUGAAAAGAGCAUAAAUAGUCAUCUUUCCGUCGAGCGUUUUUUUGCUUUCUUCUUAAGAACAUCAAAAAAUAAAAAAAUUAGUUUGUUUUCCGAAUCAUUCAUCUGAUAACUUUCAAAGCUUCUUCAAGUUGAAUACGACAUAAUUUUGAAACAUAAUUUUUCAAAAUUGACAACUAUAAAUUUGCCGCAUCCAAUGAACAAUUGAAAAACAAUCAGGUAUUUUUUUUCUGAUUGAAUCAGUGAAAUCUUUGUAUGCAUUGGGAUUUAUAGCUUUUUUCGGAUGUUUUGUUUCCAAAUUAUGAUGUAUAACGAAUGAAUUUUUAUUUUUUUUAGUUUAUUAGUUGUUUUUUCUGUUUGAAUGCAUACAAUAAUUUGUAUCCAUUAAGUUAAUGUAACUAAUCGAUCAUGAACUAUGUGUUGAAUACAACAAUAUAUGAAUACAAAAGUGAGAUGAAAAUACAAAGUGAGAUUGAAUACAAAAGAAACACUCUCUUCAUUUGAAAUACAAAGUGAUUUUGAAAGGUAAAAUACAAACUAAUGGAUCAUGAACUAUAUGUUGAAUACAGCAAUAUAUGAAUACAAAGUGAGAUGAAAAUACAAAGUUAUAAAUACAAAGUGAGAUUGAAUAUAAAGUUGUGAAUACAAAAGAAUUAAAUAUUCUCUUUAUUUGAAAUACAAAUUGACUUUGAAAGGUAAAGUGGACACAUAAAAUACAAAACUUGUUGGUAUACAAUUAGGUUGAAUACAAAACAAAAGAGAAAUACAAACUUGUUCACAUAUAAAUUGAGAUUGAAAUACAGAAUGAAUACCCAAUAAAAUACAAAAUUAUUGUUAGCAUACAGUUAGGAUGAAUACAAAUUAAGAAGGAAAUACAGACAUGUUGGUAUACUAAUUGAGAUUGAAAUACAAUGUAAAAACAAAAAAUGUAAAACUUGUUGAUAUAUAAAUAGAAUGAAUACACAAAUAAAUUGUUAGAUUCAGACAUUGUAGACAUACAAAUGAUUUCCCCAAAUCUAAAACCCUAAAAGCAAAUAUAAAUGUAUUAAAAAUCAAACAAAACAAACACAUGAAUGAAUUUGUAGAUUUUAAUAAAUCUGAAAUACUAAAACGAAAUCAGAAAAAAAUCGAAAAAAAAUUGUUUAAUCGACUAAAAAUCUAAAAUACAUAAAUUUUACAUGAAUAUGUAAACAAACUUGCAUAAAAAUCGAAAAAAUUAACGAAAAAUCCGUAAUAUGUACAAUGCGAAAUAUAAAUAAACAGUGAUAUGAAAAGAAAUCUAAAUAACUAAUUGAAAUACAUAAAUAUUAGAUGAAUAUGUAAACAAACUUGCAUAAAAAUCAAAAAAAUUGACGGAAAAUCCGUAAUACGUACAAUGCAAAAUAUAAAUCAUAAACGGUGAUAGUGAAAACAAAUCAAAAGAAAUAUAAAUAACUAAUCGAAAUGAAUAAUGAAAAUUACCUUGCCAACCGAGAAAUCUUCUUGAAUUAAUAAAGAGAUUUCGUUUAACAAUAAAAAAAAUCUUGAUGAACAACAAUUUAGCACCUUGAAGAAAGAUAAACUUGAAACGUGAAAGGUGGGGAAGAAACAUGAAUGGUGAUGAAAAAAAGUUAAUGGUAUUGGUUUAAUUUAUUUUUUUUCACUUUAAACGGUUAUUGGUAUAUAAUUUGGUCAAAUAUAGGACUCUUUCCAUAAAUAAAAUUAAUUUAAAAUACUAAAAUCUGAAUACAUAUUAUUUUAUAAAAUUAUUGUCAUUCUGCCAUUUUAAAUAAAUAUUUUAAAGUGUUAUUAUUUUGACUAAUUAUAUUAGGUAUUAUGACUUAAUUGUUAAUUUUCCCUAUUACUACUUGGAUUACCUUUAAAUAGCCCAAAGGCCCAAAGACCAAAAGCCCAAACUAUGCACUACAUUGUAAUUCUGAUCACCCCGCGGAGAGUCGGUGACGGAGUAGAAGGAGAAUCGACGAGGAAAAAAACAGUGCGCUUCAAUGGAUACUUCUCCACUCAACGAAGCCUUGGCGUCCAGCUCUUACGACAAGAUUGCUGAUAUUUGUGAUAAUCUCAUGCUCCAGGCAAUUUCUCCUUGUUUUUCCUCUCUAUUUAUUGUCUUUCUAGUGUAGUCCUUUCAGUAGAUUUAAGAAAGAAACCUAAUGUUUCUAUUCGCUUUGUUGGUAUUCAUAGGGUGCUGCUGAGGGCAUCGAAUUUCAUGAUGAAUGGCCCUACGCGAUUCACCUUCUAGGUCAUAUUUACAGCAAUGACAUGUAAUCUCCUAUUUGCAACUUUACUUUGGAAUUUUAGGGUUUUAAGUUGGAUGAUGUGAAGGAAUUGAUUUAGAAUUACAUUGUUAUUGUCUUACUUUUGCAGUAAUAGUGCGCGAUUUCUGUGGAAGAAGAUACCUGCAGCUAUAAAGGAGGCCCGGCCUGAGGUGGUGGCAGUUUGGAGGAUUGGGCAGAAGCUUUGGACAAGGGACUAUGUCGGUGUGCACGAGGCUAUUCGUGGAUUCAGCUGGAGUCCUGAGGUUCAGCCCUUCGUGGCUUCCUUUGCAGGCAAGUUUGUGUAUCUUUAUUCGCCAUAGAACAAAUGGUAGAGAUUUAGUUGAUCAUCCUUUUCUGUUUAAAAGUCGAUCGUCUUCUAUUAACUCUAGUAGUUUAAUCAGUUCUGGUUAGAAGCUUUACAUAAUGUAGAAUAUGAGUCCUAGCAGCAGCCCAAGAUUUGUUUUUGCUUGUUGAAUCCAUAGGAUAAUUGGAUUCUGAAUGAUGAAGAUGAACGAACCCUUAGAGUAGGUAAAAGGUUGAAUAUGUGAACAACUAAGACAUAACAUCUCUAAGUUAUAGUGCAAGAGGAGUGUCACCUCUUGUUUCGAAAUAAAAAGGGAGAAGUUAAAGUGAGGGUUGAGAUUAUAUUUCGAAGGUUCUAUCUAGUAAAUUUAUACUUUAGUUGGCAUUUGGAAGGGAUCAACAUUCUUUUCUGUGCCUGUCAAAAGCAUAGAAGGUUUUGCUGCUACAGCUAAUAAUUGGGACUUAUAAAUGAAGUGCCACUGUGCCAAAGGAGUCUAGCCUCUCUUCUGGGUUAAGAUUGAAUGUGGAUCAAGUAAGUGUAAGGAUUAACUAUAUAUUUCCAUUGUUGAAUUAGUAGAAUCUAUGAAUCUGCACAAAUCACAAAGUUGGGCUGCAGUCCAGGAUUAGCUAUUGGAGUUUGAUAGUGGCUUGAGACUAGAAUGAUGCUCUCUGAACUUAUCUUGAAGUCUAGUGGCCACUUUCAGGUAAUCAGCUUAAAUGGGCAGGGAUAAUUGUUCUCUACAGGUCUCUAUGUCUUGGUACAACAUCGAAAAAUUUGAAAAUGAUAUCUUUUGUUAGCAAUGGGCCAUUGGCUGUUUGGUACGAAAUAGUCAGUAUAAGCAAUUAUUUAGGAUGGGUUUACUGGUGUGAUCCCCUGAAAGGGAGAUCAUAAUGGUGAUGCCUUUUUCUCAAUCACGUGUCAAUUUUGUUCCUGGUUGAUGUCAUGAUUAUUGGUUGGGAGUAUCAUCUCUAUGCUUGAAUCUUGAUAUUUAUGUCCUUAUUGACCUAGAUAAUUGUGGAUAAUACUCCAAUUAUGUCUCCCCAUCAUAUUUUUCUUCAUUGUUAAUUUUGCUCUGUGUUCAUUUUUGUCAAUUACUCUUUAUAUGAGUUGGGCGAGCUUAAUCGGUUCUUUGUUUUCCGCAUGCGCAACUAUGACAAGGCGUUUAAUUUACUAAAACAAGGACUGUGUAGAUUCUUUGUAUUCCAUUUACUGAUGGUGAGUUAGUUGAAGUUCUGGGUUGUUUUAAUUAUUGGGUAACUCUCCAGAUACAUGGAAUUUAUCAUGUACUUGACUGAGAAAAUAGCUAUUGAGGAAAAAUUUCUUUCCGCAUAUAAAGGAUAAUUUGGCGUGUAACUUUCUACUAAUAAGACAUGCAGUAAUACUAAUUCCAUCAUAUUGCUGUCCAUCCCACCUAUAUAAAAAACAAAACUAUACUACAUUUUUAUGAGAGGUCAAGGAUUAAGUGAUUAACUGAUGUAGGCAUAUACCAAAAUAUAUGCUCUCCUCAAUAUAUGUUGAAUUCUUCUGUCUGGGGGGUUGGUUGUGGUAGAGACAGAAGCAUGGAUGAAGUUGUUUUCAGACCAUGCUGAUGGAGAGGAGCGCAAAAGAAUUUUCAGCAUGCUUAGUUCUGAGUUCCAACUCUAGGAUCUUCUGUUGUGGUUAAAAGUAAAUUAUUUAGUACUAUUUUUUGUAAUUCAUGCAGCAUUAUAUUUUUGUGACGUCAGGUGAAACUAUACUUCACCACAUUAUUUUUUUUCUUUCAGCCAAAUUAUUUGGGGCUGUAUUUGUAAGAAAAUAAAGUGAUUGUUGGCACAUUGUAGAGGGUGGUGGUUUCAUAUAUCCUUAAUGUAAGUUGGUUAUUUGUCUAAAUAUUAGACCACAUUGCUGGGGAAAUGUUCGAAUAGUUACCAGCGAUUUUUUUAAGAAAAGCGUUUACUCAAAUCUGUGAAGGGAACCAUAUAAUGCAAACAUAAACUUAAACUUCUUAUGCCCCAUUGUUUUCUUUGUGGUUUUGCUAUACAGGGUGCAUAGGUAUACAUAUGUGUACUUAUUUUGCUGUAUAUUUGAUUUUUAUAUCAUUUUCACAUCAUCCUUCUGCAGAAUUAUACAAAAAAAGGAUGUUCGAGCUCCUUCUUUCUGCUUAUUCAACCAUUAGCACACAAGACUCAGCUCGCUUCCUGGGAAUGAAUGAAAAUGAUGCUACAAACUGUAAGUUGUUAUCCUACAGCGUGCGUGCUUGUAGUCUCAGAGUUCUUUUUCUGUACAUAAGAGGACUAAAUGAACUAAUGUCUAUCAAAAGGAAUCCUUGUUGUGUCUGCAAGGAGAAUCAUCUCCAUUUUCUUCAUUGUCUAGUAGACCAUAAUUUUGGACUUGAUUGGCUAGGUAUCCUGCUCCUUGAUUCACCUUUAAAAGUCAUGGUAAAAUGUUACUUUCUAAACCUUCUGAAAAGGCUCUCUAAUAUCUCAAAUUCUGCUCUUUGAUGUCUUGGUAGUUGUUCCUUUAUCAAUUUCACACCCCUGGCGGGGAGUUUCUUAACAUCUCCUUUAGUUCCUCUGCUAGGAUUUAACCGAUACAUCUGGGAUGCCCAUCAAUUCAGCAAUUAGGCAAAUAAAUUGUCCUAAUUUUUCCACUUAUAAAAAAAAUAGUCCUAAUUUUUCCAAGGUCAGCUUUCCAUUAACCUUAAUUAUCCUAAUGAUGCCAUCUAAUCUUGCAGUUGGCACUUCCAUCAAUGAUCAAUUUGAACUUUCUGAUUGGGAGAACAAGUGAACUGACUAGUUUUGGAGUCCUACACUUGUCUAAACUGUAAUUUGGAAAAAGCUAAUCUUAUCAGAAGUAACAUUGUCUUCGAUUUUCCUGCAAUGAAGUGAAUUAAUAGUACUUCCAACUUUCAUGUAGCUUAACUUUAAUAGCAAUCUCUUUGGUGGAUUGAAGGUGAUUAUUGAGGUUGAAAAAAGUUAAAAAGGGUAUAUAAGAUAAUUAUAAAAUCAGAUCGAUUUGCUUGAAGCGGUUAACUAAAAUAAUAGGUGCACAUCAAAUGUUAAGAAGCACAUACAGUGAAUGUGUUCAUAAGUUAUCACUGUUUGGUAACAAUAAGUUUGUCAUCUCCCUUUCAGAUGUGCUGCAACAGGGUUGGGCGUUGGAUUCGGCAUCUCAAAUGCUUACUGUGAAGAAACAGGCAGUUAUAACAGAACAGAAGUUAGACCCCAGUAAAUUACAGCGCUUAACUGAAUAUGUCUUCCAUCUGGAGCACUAAGCUGUUUGCUGGUUCCGCUAUUAGGUGCUUUUCUUACUUGAAAUGGUUGGAGAAAUUAGCUUGCCAAAUUUUAUAGCAACAGAUCUAAGCAUGGAUUUACUAGCAUGAAGUCGAGAAGAGUAUAGUUUUUGAAAGAUUUUCUUUGUUAAGGGGCAUUAGUAGAUAUUGAACAAAUGUUGAACGAUCUUCUUUUAUUUAAGUUUUCAUUUAUUCUAUUAAGAUUUUCCAUUCCGUUCCCUGCUCUGGUGGAUGUAUUUGGAAAACACAACUAUGACCAUAGGAAUUAUGCUUAAAUUUGAUUCGACGAAAAAAAAAAUCAAGUUUCAAGUUGAAAGUAAUAGUCGAGAGAGUUCCCGUUGACCGAAGACUUGAUUGUUGAUAUUUCGAUAGGUCCAGAAUGGAUUGAAAAAGGAGCUGGUUCGACAGAAAGCUUUUGAAGACGUAGUGCACCCUUGUAAAUAAGGAACAAGAUGAAUACGGAGGUUAAACAAAGCAUCCUACACCCAAAAAGUGCCCCACAUAGGGUUUCCCCGAAAUCCCCCGGUAACUAAGGUAAACAAUGUAGAAAAAGCACCUAUUUCUGUAUCGGUUUCAGAAGAGCGAAGAACAUUUUGCACAGAACUUCAGGUUUCAUUCAUUCCUUUGAACAACAGAAGCAGUAUGUUAUGCGUAUACACUGACACUAGCCAAAACACCCAUCCAGAUUCACUACGUUCUCAAACUGAGUUUUCUCACCAUCUAAUGGCAAAGGCAAAACACAGCCUUACAUAAUACGGCAACAACAUUUGUUUCUAUAUACACUGAAACUUUCAAAACAUUUUGGCCAAAAAUUAUGGUGUGAACAUCAAGCAGGUUUGUAACCAGGAUACGCAUUAACAUUAUAUAUAACUUCUGCUUGUGGUGAAAUUUUGUUAUCUUUGUGAGUAUUUCGAGUGAAUGAUCUCCUUCUACAUUGGGGUCGAUCACCAUCCUCAGCAGCACUGGAGAUUUGGCCAAUAAAACCUUGAUAAGCUGCAUGUGAACCCCUGCUCCCAUUACGCCUGUAAUCUGAGAAGCUUGCAGGAAUUUCAUCAAUAGUCCCCCAAGGAAAAUAAUCAAGCAAUUCACCAGGUCCCUAAUAUUAACGAAAAUACGUCACUCUGAACUUAAAACUGAAGAUCUAGUGAGUAAGAAAAUAAGAAAGUGUACAAGCUUAGUUGGUACAAGCUUAGUUCGUGCCUUUACAGAGGAUUCAUGUGAAACUUUUGCUAAAAGAGGGACACAUUUUAGAUGUAUAUUGUCCGAGAAGACAAAUGAGGAUAUAAAUUCGUCUGUUGUUUCCCAAAGUGUUUGAUCAAGCUUCAGCUGUGAAAGUCUACACCAAUUUUUCGAUAAGAUACUUGUCCUAACAGCAUCGCGUAAAGGCAAACACAAAAGUAUGUCAUCGAUUAAUUUCUCGGGAAGGUUGCUAAGUACAUCAACAAGUAAACUUUGUUUUAAUUUCCUUCAUUAGGUGUCAUCAUAUGCCAGUAAAAUCUGCAGAAAAUAAACGAAAACACGUAAGGUAAGGAAUUUGCAAGUAUUAUCUUGAGGUACGUCUCUUAUUCUACUAAACCACAACGAGAACCAGAGGACUAUCCAAAAUUUCAAAAGGAUGGAUGCACUAUCACAAUUUGCAUUAUAUAUGAUCAUACUUCAAGUAUGGUUCACACAUCUAUACUUUGAGUGUUUUUUUUUUUAAAAAAAAAUGUAACACUACUAUAUACAUACAAUUAGGAAGGAGGGCAUGCGUUCACUUAAAUAUUCAAUUUGAGCUGCAUUUAUUAUAUAUACCCAGAAAAUAAAAAUACACUCUUGGUUUCAAAAUUCUACAGAACUAGAAUAAUAAAAAGCACAUGAGUUAUGUUAACAAUGAAGAAAAAGAAAAGAAAAGAAAGGAGAAAUUGAAGAUGAACCUGAGGAUGAAACUUUGUGAUUUGUGAGUGCUCCUAAAAGGCUAAUUCAAUUGUAUUCUAAUUAAAUUGGGGAUGAAGUUGUGAUUAGUACACGUGUAAAUACUGAAAUCCAACAUCACUCUAAAGGUGACAGCACAUUGAGUAGAAUAGAUAAAUUUAAGGUGUUUAUUAUGUUUCGAUUAUUACAUUAUUUUUAUUUAUUUUUGAUCUUUUUUAUAGAUUUUUAUAUUGUGUACUUGAUAUUUUCUCUGCACAAUCUCUUUCUUUUUUGUAUCUAAAUUUAUUUCACUUGAACGGAUUUUUUUUAGAAACAACAUUACUAUUUCUACGAGAUGAUAAUGAUAAGGUGUAUGUAUAUUGUGUACUCCUCAAAUCUUUUUCACUAAGUAAUGAAUAGAAUACCAUUAAUAUGAAUUAUGAUAAUGCUCUUAAAGGAAUUUUUUUAAAAAUAGAGAAAAUGAAUAUUGAGAAAUUAGAUAAAAUGAAGCCCUACUAUAACAUCAUUACAAGAUGCAUAGAAUAUCAAAUAAUGGCUACUAGUAAUAAAAUAAUUGAGAUUAAAAAACGUGAAAGUGAAGAAAGACUGUUUUUUUUCCUACUCGGAGUUUGGUGUUCAAGCUAAGUUUCAACUAAAUUUAGAUCGCACAUUGCAAUGUUCAUUUAAAGGUGACGCUUUCAAUAAAAACUUAUACAGCUAGUACUGUGAAGUUCUCAAUCCACAACAGUAAUUUAUGUCUUUAACAUUAACCUUAACUAAUUAAAAGCAUUAAUUAAUAAAUAAUCCACCUAGAAAAAUAAUACAUCUAACUGCUAUUACUUGUUCAUGUCACAUCCCACCGGUUUUGUUGCUUCAUAGAUAUCAACAAUUGAUAGGAACUUCCUUCGUUUAUUAACGCAACCCAUUUUGUCCGAUAUUUCACCAUCUGAAUUCACCUCUGGAUAAUAUUUUGAUCUGCUAAUAAUCAUGUUAAAAACAAGAAAAUUAAAGACUAUACCGUAGUCUAAAAGAAGAGUUAAUAAAUUGACCAUAUAUAUUAAACAUGAGAUUAUAAUGACCAGGUAAUUAAGAAUGAUUUUUUUUCCAAUGUAAAGUAUUUUUCUUUUGCAUUAUAUAUAUAUUAAAUACACUUACAACUUUGAUUUCUUAUGUUCGUUUUAAUGCUUGAAUUUUUUUUGGUUGAGAUAUCUUUCCUUGUGGGAGAACUCCAAUUACAUUCAUCUUCAACUGGUGAGAGCCUCUCAGUACACUUCAAAAUCAAGGAAAGUAACUUAAUCAACUAUAAUUCAAAAAAGUUUUUAACAAUAAUUUUUAUUUUUUUUUAAUAAAAUACAAGUCUUUUUCAAUACAUACAUCGCAUAAAAAACUCCAAGUAGGAACUAAUUAGUAUAUAUUGUUGAACAAUAUUAUUAGUUGAAACUUAGCUAGUUCAAAUUAAAACACUUAUAUGCAUGCAACUCUUAAACAAAAUUUAACGCAUCAAAAUAUUUUUUGUACCUUAGUAUAUUAGUAUUACUAUAUAAGAUCAAUGGACUGCAAACAUUUUGUUACUUUUCAAUGCAAUCUUGUUUGUAUGUCAAAAUAAUACUUGGUAAAUGCAUGCAAAAUAUGAAACUAAUUGACAAGUGCAGAAUGACAGAUACCCAGAAAAUAAUUGAAAUACACACGUACAAACUGAUCUAGCGUAAACACCAUGCACCAUCGUAAAAGAAGCAAAAUUCUACAUUUCAUACAAAUUCACAAUUUAUACGGCAUGAAUAGUCACCUUGUAGAGGUCAGUGAUGGAACGAAAUUUUGUACUCCUCGGCAUCAAUCUGCGAGCGUCUUCAUCUAAUUUUAUCGGGAGUUUCGAGCGUCAUUAUUAUCUUGUGUAUAUAUAAUUCACACAUAUCAAUAUCGUAAUUAUUUUCCGUACAGAAAAAUCCUUCGAUGACCUAUGAUUAUCUAUCAAUAACAUGUUAAACCCAUGAAUAUAUAUUUUGAUAAUAUUAAAAUGAUACGUAUUAAUUUGCUGCUAUGAUCAUAAUUGCUUUCAAUUUUUUUGUUAAAACUGCAAGCGUUAACAAAAUUAUCAUCGAUCUGUGUAUAUAUAUAGCAGGUUUCGGUGAAAGGCCUCACCUCAAGGGAUGUGAUAGUGGCAUCCAUGGCUCUUAUAUGGACACUACUCAAUCGUUACUUCAAAACUCCCCACAUAUAUGGAUUAAAAAUUAUUUCAGACAAUAUAUCGUUCAUAUAUAUAUACUCAUAUAUUAGUAGUGGAGUUGAUCAGACGAUCGAGACUCUCCACAUGCCGACUCAGCAGGGAUGUACGUGGAGACGGAGAGUAUUGUGUGUAUAUAUAAAUAUAUAAAUAUAGAGAGAGAAAUAUUGCUUUGAGAUGGCUGAUCUCUGUGGGUAUUCCUAUUUCACGUAGAAUACGGAAUUAAUUACGAAUAACGAAAAUUCCCAAAUUUACUAUUGUUUAUAAUUAUAAUUUAACCUCCAUUAUAUGAAUCAUCGACACAAAAAAAGUUUGUUAUUUGUCUUCAUUUUAAGUCCUAUAUAUUGGCUCAUAAGAUCCCCAUGUUUAAAUAUAGUUGCUAUAUCUUAGGCCACGUUGAUAAAUCAUGCAUAGUUUAUAACAAAUGUACUUAAUAGUUUGUACCAUGAAAAAACACGGUAAAAAUUGUUUCCAUGCCUUUUGAAAAAGGUUCUCAUGCAUAAUUAAUAAAAAAUUAAUCACGCAAAUUAAACUUCACUAUCAAUUUUCUAGUGAAACUUGACUACUAAUAUGGUUAGAAAAUUAGUUUGGCCAUGGAUCUUCUCUGGAAUUCCCUCAACUUACAAAUAUUUUCUUUUAUAUUUGGGUCUUCUCAUAAAUUUAAAAAAAAAAUCCAUAUUUAUUGAUUUGAUAUAAAUGUAGAAUGUAUUUUUUUUCCAGAGAUUAUACAAUUGAUCAUAUUAGAAUAUUGUAAAUAAACCUUUGUAAAGGUAGAUAAAGAACAAUUAUAAUAGUUUAUGAGACGAAUGAAAUUUGAAUUUGUAAAUGAUUUAAUAUAAUUUAUAUAUCACUUAGAGAAGUAACUAAUUAAAAUAUAAUCUUGUAGCUACCUAGGUGGAAGAAGUGGUAGCAUCUUUUCUCUAAUUCGCCUUUUGGUUUUCUCUUAAUUAAACCAACAUUUAUAUUAUUUAUGUUCGUUAUUAUCAUUAAAAAUAUGAUCAGAUGUUACAGAAAUUAACGUACUACCAACUUAAACAAUAGUACGUACAUGCACUCUAAAAUUAUCAUCGUUUAUCUGUAAUAUAAUACUAUAAUUACAGUAUCAUCUUCAUAUUUUUACUUCUACAGUAGUUUUAAUAGUCACAAAUAAACAAUAACAAUAAUUAUACAUGAUCAAUCUCAAACUAUUGAGAUUUGUUGUAUGAGUAGUCACUAUCAUUUUUGCUUUAUUUGUUAAAUAUUUCAAUCAACAACAACAACGCAUUAAUUCACGACUAGCUAUAUGAGCAUUCACCAUCAUAAAUACUCCAUAUAAUAUCCAUAAUAUUUCAAUAUAUCAAACAUCUUUUAUAUAUUCUAAUGGUUAUAUAUACCUCUCACAUACUUAAAGUCUCCGUUUGGGUACAAAAACAAACCACUAGUUAUUUGUUUUUUCCUUUUACAUUUCUUUACAUGGAAAAUCACAGAUCGAUUUGAUCUCUUAUCAAUGCUUUCUAGUCGAGGUUGUUGCAUCACACUUUGCUUAGUGUAGGUUUACAUUACUUGUAUCUGAUGCACACUUAAAAGAUAGUAGCAUUUUUGAAGUCCCAAAAAAAUUCCUUUUAUUUAUAGUUAUAAUAAAAGCAGGAUUUUUCUACAAUAACUUCAGCCACAUGCGAGGAGGCCAUUCAAGGAAGAAAAAGACCAAAUUAUAGACCGAGUCCCCAUAACGGCAAGGGGGUGCGAACCGUCCAUGCCGCCUUACCAUAUAUAAUAAGGCUCCAUUCAAUUAGUUAAAGGUUACAAUGUUUUAUUUUAUUAGUUUUUCGUUCGAUGUCUCAUACUCAUAUAAAGACUCAACUAUAUUCAAAUCUGCACCAAAAAAAUUCACAAUAGAAGAUAAAUCACACCUUAACUAAUGCAAUUUUGUACCCAAUAAGAUCUAAAUUCGAAAUACUCAUUGUUAAUUUUGAGUAUCAUCUUUCUACUUCAAACAAUAAUAUUUCAUCAUUAUCUCUUUCUCUCUUUUUCUUCGCUACAAGAAGGGUAAACGACUGUCAUAUUAGCAAUCAAAAUAUGAAUACAUGAUGUGAGGAUAAGAAAACAACAUCUUAUAUGUUGUAUUGUGCAGGUUUGCUAGUAAAAUAAUUAUGAAUAUUGAAUCAUCUUAAACCUUUUAUGAUACCUAGAGGUCCAUACACUCUAUCCUCCCCAGAUCCUAUUCACUUUAUCCACAGAUUUCACUAAGUGGAAUUUUACGAGAUAUGUUAUUAUUGUUGUUAAGUUUUUAAAGGUGCAGGCAAACAUAUAAAUUGAGGGGGAAAAUGAGCUAUGACCCCAAUAUAUCAAACUCUCGAAAAUAUCUUUCUUUUUUUUUUUUUUAGAAAAAAAAUACUCCACUAAUUUGAUGUAAUUGUCUGAUCAAUUUCUUGAUAACCAACAUUACGUCCAUAUUCACAUGCCUUUAGAUUGGCUUUUAAUUCAUGUAGCACAAGUAAUUAUCAUAAAAUUAAACGAAUUAGAUAAUCAAUAACAUGUGCUAUUUAAAUAAACUUCCAGUAUUUUGAUUUUAUUAAUUUGCUAUGUCAGAAAGUUGAAUUCAAUCUGCAAGGUUUAAGAAGAAUAUUCUAGAACACUCGAGAAUCGUAACCCCAAUCCCCAUUAAAUCAAUUAAACAAACCCACAUAUGAUGAACAUGAACAAUCAGUUAAUUAGUUAAAGGAUAAUUUUUUUAAAAAUCAAAAGUAAAAACUGGUGACAGGAGAAAUGGAAAAAGGAAUUACAAAUUGGAAUGAAACUCUUAUCAACACUAGGAGAUAAAAGUUCAAUCAACGGAUCUACUAAUAUUUUUCAGUUAAAGCGAUAAAUAACUGGAUAUACUACACCAAAAAUAUCUACAAUAAUGUUUAUUGAUAUCGUUCGAUUGAUAUAUAUACACGAAAUAAUUUACAUAUAUGUUUUUUGGCUAUCAGGAUUUAAACUUGCGAUGUUUAUUCUUAAGGAUCAAAGGUUUUGUAACCUGAUAAAGUGCAGCGACGGAUCGGAACUUCCUUUUCUUAGGAGGAGAAGCUUCAUCUUCCAUAUUCACGGCUGUUGACGAUGAUACCUCCGCCGUAUCGCCGACGCUUUCUUCUUCUACGAUCACUACUCUUGAACUUUCACCGGCGUUAUGGUAAAUUUCACGGCUGCUAUCGGAAUCGCCGCUGAGCUGAAUAAGCUGCAACGCCGCGUUCAUCUCCGGCUCCGUCAGCUUUUCCGGUUCCGUUUGAAUUCCUCUAUUUUUCACCGUUGAUUUCUUCAUUUUAUGGCAAGUCGGUGUUUGGUUUGCGGUGAAAUUGAAGAGGAAGGAACUUUUGUGGGGAGCUAUUUGUAAUUCCUCAGGUGAGGUGGGUAAUGACGAAAAUAUCUUUGAAGUAAGCAUAUUUUUUUAAGGCUUGUUUAAUUAAUUAAGUAAUCGCUAGUUUCAGAGAUUUUUUUAGGGACAAGAUUGUAAUUUACGCAAUUCUUUUGGUCUUUUUUUUUUUUUUUUUUUGGGUAUGAUCUGGUCAUACCUUUUGCUCUACGUAAAGUUUAAACUAUAAGCUAUUUGAACAAAAGCAAGAAUUUGAACGAUCCAAAACCAAGGUAGAAAACUUUAUUACAUGUUUUAUUUACUUUUUUUUUUAAAGUUCGUGUAAAGUUGAAAUUGGAUAAUCAAAUUAAAAUGAAGGAGUAUCUCAUAAAAAAAGAACCCAAGUCUUAUAUUUUUAAAUCAUAUAUAAUUAGUAUCAGUCGUAUACUAGGUAAUAAAAAACUUAAGCAAGGUGCGAUUGGUUUGCAAGAUAAAAGUAGUUCCCACUACUCAGCAAGCAAACAACGUCACAACUCUAUUUAGGCAACUCAGGAGGUAUAGAUCACCAAAAACAACGUGUAACAGACAAAUGGAUUUUGUUUGGAUUUGUUCAUAGGGUAUUAGUAGUGCCAACUUAUCAGACUUUAGACAUCACAUCACAUGAGUUUUUUUUUUAAAUGGUUUUCUUUUACGUCACAUGAGUGCUUGUGUGUAAACAUAGGUUUUUUUUUCUUUUCUAAUACGAAGGCGUUUGAGUUAAUUUGUGCACAGUUCAAUUAUUAUACUGGAUGUUUGUUACCUCCCACAGCACAAAUAUUGAAUACUUUUAUCUAUUAAAGUUAGAUAAAUGAAAAAAAAUCAUUUAGUAUUUUUUACAUGUGCUCCAAAUUUAGAAGCAUUAAUAUCUGAGGUAGGCAUCUAGCAAUUGAACAUGUGAAACAAUAUGUUUUUUUUUCUUCUUUAGUGAGGAGUUAGACUAUGCUGUGGUCCAUAAUUAUUUAGUAAGAGAAAUGGUAGAAUUUUCUGUGUAAGUGAAACAUCGAACUUAUGAAAUUAUAAUAGUAAUCAAACUGUGACCUUAACCCCAACAUAAAUAAUAAACGUUCAGAGGGGCAAGUAAAUUUGGCAGGCUGUACCUUUUGUAUAUUGCUAAGUGGUAAUAAACUUAUAAUCAAACGAGCAUUGCUUGGCGAGAAUGACAUUGAUCUUCGUUAUAAAUAUGGAAAUGUAACGAUCACAACAGAAUUCGUGCACGACGCCUCAAAUGGAUAUGUAUAUGGCCUGAUUUCAAUAUCCAGUGGUAACAAGAUUGUUACUUACGUACAACUUUUCAUCACAUCAACGUACACGAGGCGGAUGAACACUAAUUUUCUUGCUUAGCCUGUUGAUCAUAUACGCAUUCUGUACCUCAAAUCUCAACAGUGAAUUUGCAAAGCUUCAGGAAUGAGCAUAGCCAAGUUUCCUCCUCAGCCCAGACAACUUGUGUAUCCACCCAAAUGAUUUGGAAGUAUGUGUCUUUGUUAGGUGUUAAUAAGAUGUCUGCCCCUAGGAUCUUCACUCUGUAUCACUUGGCAUCGGGGCUGAGGAUAGCACACUUCCUUCCUCGACCCCAGUCAUCGUGUCUCCACCUGCAUGGGUUUGAAAAUAGCCUUGUUAGGCAUUGAUAAGAUGCAAGUACCAUACUUUAUACAACAUUAAAGGAACACGGCAUCAUGCCCCACAAAAACCUAAGAACAGAAAUUCACUAUGUAAACAAGGGAAUGCAUACAAAAAUCCAUCUGUCAUUUCAUAAUCAGACAAACUUCUGUAUGGCAACUAUUUACAUCCAUCAGAAGGCAUUGUAUUCAGCAGGGGGGCAUAACAUUAUUGCAGAUUCUUAAGGUUGACUGAGAUGAAUUUAGAUGGUGAAACAUGGUUAUUGAGGAUUCAUAUAUCCAAACAACUUGUUUGGGACUGGGGCUUAGUUGUUGCUGUUCAAAAAACACAAAAGGUUGUGUAAGACUCAUUCAAUUUUGUUUUUGGGGACUUCAUAAAACCCUUAUUGAUUGAGAACUUUGCGCGACAAACACUCAUCAACAUUAACACUUGGGAUAAACAAAUACACAACUACUUUUUUGUUCAACCAGUUGAAACCAAUUAUUUUUGCUAUUUGCCUACAUCUACCAUAAUUAGUUUCAACUGGUUGAUUAUAAAAAAUAUGGGCAAAUAUCCCAACUCAGAUCUUCAGAAAGGACAUUUUCCAUUUGUUAUUACAAUUUUCGAUGGCGAGAACAUUUGAUUGGCAAUUCCCACAUGCGGAGAAAGUUCUUCCAAAUCAUUUGUGGGGAGAAAAAACAAUCAAACAUCUAUAAAAAGGUACUUACAUAGCCCCAGCUUGUGAAGAGAAUAUUCUGAAACCCGACAACUUUUGAAGAUCUUGUCUAAACCCAGUAAAGAGAACCUGAAAGAAACAGAUUUUGAACAGGAACAUAAGCAAGACCACAAGCACCGCAGAACACUACGCUUCUCUAAAUAAAUGGAGGAAAUCUAGAGUGGUGCCGGCAUGAAAAUUCAGGAAGCAACAACAUUUAUUCAGGAAAAAUGUGACCAACUAUAUUCCAACAAAUUGACAAGUGCAAAGUUUGAAGCAACGAAACAAGCAAGCUCUAGCAUCCAAGUUACAGAGGAGUCAAGUUAGAAAGGUUGAAUAAUUUAAACACAGAUGUGCCAAUAAUGCAUCUUCCAGAAUGAGAACGAGAAGGUGAAGAGGCCAACACUGAUAUAAAGACAAAAACAAUUAAGAGAAAUGCAAUGAAAUACAAAAUAAUCACCGUUUACAUAGUUGGUAUAACCAUAUACUCUAGAUUACAUGGCUGGGAUAGCUGACAGGUGAUAACUCACAAGAAGCAGAAAAUUAAACACAACUUGAAAUGCAUCUUUCAGCUGAUACUUGACUGACAUAAUAUGGAAGGAGGGCUUAUAUGACCUGUGAGACAGCAAAUUAAUAUGCUGUUAACUAUGACCAAUUGAAGAUCCUAUGAUCAACCUUAUAAGAUGGUAAGCCUAUUGCUGUUGCUACUUUGGAAAGAGAGAAAAGGGCACCGGCCCUAGAAAGUAAUGGGAGUGACACAUGACAUCUUACCAUAAUAGUAAAAAGGGAAAUGAUGAAGAAAGAGCUUAAGUGCAUUUGAACUCUAUAAAGUUGGCCAUUGUGAAUUUUAAAAAACAUGAGUAAUUUUAGACAGUUCUCAUUCAUUUUGGAAUGUCAGCCGACUGCUUAACGGUGGAGUAAAUCAAGUUGAUGCUAUGGUCAGUAGUACUUCAAAGGUUAAGCUUACCUACAUCGCCGACCGAAAUUAUAACAGAUGCCAAUAUGCGCUCGAUGUGCGGGACAACUCCUAGCGGCUGUCGCCAACAAGGUUGCUGGACACAGUCAAAUUGAGAAACAGAAGAACAAAGUCAAUACUCACAUAUUCUAGUUGAAAAUCAAACAAUCAAGAAAAAAAAAAUUAGUUGAAAAUCAAACAAUCAAGAAUUAUUUUUUUAGUUGAAAUUCUGUAAAAACUUGAAGAUGAACAAAACAACAUGCACGUUCUUAGAAGCUUUAAGAGCCUUCUCAAGGAAGCCCUUUUAUCUGCAGACCACAUUCCUUCACAUCACUGAUAACAAUGUACAAAAAUUGACAAAGUAGUAUAAAAGUUUCUCACAAGACUUUCAACAAACAAAACAUUGUUUUUCAUUGUAAAUUUAAUUUCCCAUUUCAGUUCUUCUCACUCAACAAACUCUUCAAAUCUUCCCUCCAGCCUCAUAUUAUUACACUAUUUCAUGGUAGCUUAGCUGAUUUUCAUGGACUAUUUCCCCUUUUAUUAAAAAAAAAGGCAUUAGUUCCAUGUACAAUCCUUGAGUUUCUGAUAGUUAUCCAUCAAAAUCCUGUCAAAAUGAUGGAACCCUAUCAGACUAUCAGAUGACAUAAUAAAGCUUAUCACAAGAUAACCUGGAUAAAACUCAUGAAAAGGUAAGCAGAAGGCAUCUUCUCGUUUUUUUUUUCUUUUAUUUGUUUCUAUUGCCAGUUUUCUUUUCUCUAAAUGAGGGGGCUUAUAACCUGAAGAAAUUAGAGGGACACAUGUAAUGCUUCUCGUGCUAAUGAUGAGUUGAACUAAAGAUCUUAGAAAUGCAGGUCUUAUAAGUUUGUAAACUAAAGGGUUCCUUCCUGUUAAUUCCACAAAUGAAACACUUUGUGAACUUUUCAAAACAGGUAAAAAAACUACCAGAUUAGGUAGUUUUUUGGAGCUUCUCACCUUACAGAAACGACGAUGACCAUGCUUCUUGAGCUUGAUAUAAAUAUGCAGAAGCAAUCUUCUCAAGUUCUGAAGCACUUGAAGAGAACAACGAUUCGCAUGUUCCUUAAGCAGUGCCAAAGGAACCAGGUAAUUUUUUUUUAAUUAAACAGCCACUGGGAUAUCCAAACUUGUCCGGAAUGGUACAGAUUGCUUUGAAGAUGAUAAAUCAGGAUUCAAGUCCUUUGAUGGAGUGAGCCUUACUUUAUAAGCUUCCUUUACCAUCCCAGCUUUUAGAAGGCAUGAUGUCAAACAACUUACUGUGAUAUCAUCUGGGACACAACCCAAAGACAGCAUCUUAUCAAAAAUGGCCAUAGCUUCAAGCAUUCUUCCUUUCAUGCAAUGCCCAAGAAUGAGAAUGGUGAAGGUGAUUUUAUCAUGGCAACACCCUCUGCUCUCCAUUUCUGCUGCAAUGACAUUUGCUUUGCUCAAAUUACCAGCCUUGCAAAACCCAUCAAGCACAGGGUUGUAUACAAAUGGUUGGGGGACAAUAUCAUCCCUCGAUUUCAAUUGCCUCAAUAAUUCCCGAGCUUCAUUUAGCCUAUUUUCCUUGCUCAAAGCACUGAUAAGAAUAGAAAAAGUAUAUAGGUUUGGAGACAAAUUUCUAGUGUUCAUUUCAUCCCAUAGCUUUAAGCCCUGAUCUAAUUCUCCAGUACGACAAUAACCGUCAAUGAGAGACGUGAAGGUCACAACAUCAGGAGGGUAACCAACAGCACACAUCCUCCCAUACAUUUGUAUAGCAGAAAACAUGUCUCCUAUCUUGCCAAAACCAUUGAUAAGAAUGUUAAAAGUAACCAGAUUUGGACUAAUACCGUAAGUAGUCAUUUCAUCCAUCAGAUUUAUAGCCUCAUCCAUUCUGCCCAACUUGCAGUAACCAGCGAUAACAGAAGUAUAUGUCACAACAUCAGGUGACAGUCCAUCUUGUAACUCAAGAUUUCCUAACAAACCUCGAGCCCUGUUUACUUGACCAACAGAACACAACCCAUUUAUAAGAGUGUUAUACGUAACAGUAUCAGGGAAACAACCAAAACUUCCCAUGUCAUUGAAAAACUCAAAUGCCUUAUCAACUCCUCCAACUCGACAAAGCCCACGAAUCACAGUGUUAAAAGUGCAGGUAUCUGGAAACAAUCUCUCUGACCUCAAAAUAUGAUGUUUGAAAAAAUCAACAGCUUCAUCUACCCUACUUCGUUUCAUUAACAAACUCAAAAGACUAUUAUGUACAAAAGGCCUAACAAUUCUACCUUCCUCCCUACCUAACUCAGCUUGUGAAAUCAAAAUUUCUUUGGCAAUCUCAAACUUGCCCGCAUUUGCAAGUGCCAAUACUACACUUUCCAAAAUCGAAUUUUCUAGUAAAUACCCAUCAGCUUUCAUAAACUUAAACACUAACAUAGCGGAAUCGUGAAACCCCAUCUGAGAAAGUGACCUCAAAAGCAAAUUAAAACUCCCAAUACAAUGAACAAGAUUCAGAUUGAUCCUAGUACACUGUAAAAAACGAAAUGCCAAUCUGGGGUUAUUCAAAUUGGUAUUAAUAUGGUGAAUAACGGUGAAAGCAAUAUGUGGGUCCAAAUUUUGACGAAAAUAAUCAGAACCGAAUACAUCAAGUGAUUGAGAAUGGUGAAAACAGAGGAGACAUACAACUUUAGUAAACCAAACCGCCUCAGGUCCAGGUCCGUAUGAAGGGAUAGAUUUUGAAGAAGUGAGACCAUGAAAUCGAGCAAUGAGUAAGAUAUUGGACGCCCGUUGAACCCACAAGGGCAUUAUCUCCGGUCGCCGAUAGUAGGGGUUUGAAUCGAUCUUAGAUUUAGAAGCCGUUUUUUAGUCAUACCAUUUCCGGUACCGGAGGUGAUAAUAUUUAUUGGGGUUUAGGGUUUUGGAGGAGGAGGCGGCGGCCGGAAAAUGACUCAGUGGCGUCAAUGAUAAACGCAGGCUAAGGUUAAAUGUUAAACGCAGUGUGACAAUGCCUGAUCCCUCUUUCUUUAUUUUCCCAUUCACUCUCUUCUUUUUUCUUUUUAUUCCCUUUGUGAAAAAAUAGUUUUCUAUCUCUCACUUACUACAAUUUAAAUAGAUUUUCACAUCUUUAUAUUAUUUUCUUGUAAAAUAUAAAUAUAUUUAUUUUUUAAAAUGUGAUGAACUACUGAACCAAGGGAUGUUUGGCCAUGAAAUUUGUUCUGUAUUUUGAAGAAAAAAACUUUUUUUAUUUUUAAAGUGAAAAAUAAUGAGUACUUUUUUUUAGUAUUUAUAAAUUGGAGUUGUGUUUGGCUAUAAAAUAUAAAUUAGAUUAUUUUUAAAAUUUUAUGAAUAAUUUAAAGUGAAAAUAAUUUUUUGCUAGAAGUCUAGCUCAACAAAAUAAAAUAAAAUAUGAUCAAAUGUCUCAUUAUAUCCCCGACAAUAUUUACCAAACUAUAAUAUUUUAGAGUAAAUUGUGUUUGUUUGGCAAUAAUUUUAUGAUAAUAUUGUUCAAUGCAUUUUUCAGAUACAAAUACUUUUAUCUAAUUUUUGAUUAUGAAUGUAUUUAUUUUCGUUAUUUUUAUUACUUCUUUUUUAAGGUAACUUUUAUCUAAUUUAUUUUCCCAUGGUGUAUGUUAUUUGCGGAUGACAUAGUACUGAUUGAUGAGACGCGGGACAGAUUUAAUGCGCGGUUGGAGGUAUGGAGACAAACGCUGGAGUCCAAAGGGUUCAGGUUGAGUAGGACCAAAACAGAAUAUUUGGGAUGCAAAUUCAGUGAUGUGGUGGAUGAGACAGAUGUGGAAGUGAGACUUGCCGCACAAAUCAUUCCUAAGAAGGAAAGUUUUAAGUAUCUUGGGGCGGUAAUCCAAGGGAGUGGUGACAUCGACGAUGAUGUCACACAUCGCAUUGGGGCUGCUUGGAUGAAAUGGAGGCUUGCCUCUGGAGUAUUGUGUGAUAAGAAAAUUCCACCGAAACUUAAAGGUAAGUUUUACAGAGUGGUAGUUAGACCGGCCUUGUUGUAUGGAGCGGAGUGUUGGCCAGUCAAGAACGCACANNNNNNNNNNNNNNNNNNNNNNNNNNNNNNNNNNNNNNNNNNNNNNNNNNNNNNNNNNNNNNNNNNNNNNNNNNNNNNNNNNNNNNNNNNNNNNNNNNNNNNNNNNNNNNNNNNNNNNNNNNNNNNNNNNNNNNNNNNNNNNNNNNNNNNNNNNNNNNNNNNNNNNNNNNNNNNNNNNNNNNNNNNNNNNNNNNNNNNNNNNNNNNNNNNNNNNNNNNNNNNNNNNNNNNNNNNNNNNNNNNNNNNNNNNNNNNNNNNNNNNNNNNNNNNNNNNNNNNNNNNNNNNNNNNNNNNNNNNNNNNNNNNNNNNNNNNNNNNNNNNNNNNNNNNNNNNNNNNNNNNNNNNNNNNNNNNNNNNNNNNNNNNNNNNNNNNNNNNNNNNNNNNNNNNNNNNNNNNNNNNNNNNNNNNNNNNNNNNNNNNNNNNNNNNNNNNNNNNNNNNNNNNNNNNNNNNNNNNNNNNNNNNNNNNNNNNNNNNNNNNNNNNNNNNNNNNNNNNNNNNNNNNNNNNNNNNNNNNNNNNNNNNNNNNNNNNNNNNNNNNNNNNNNNNNNNNNNNNNNNNNNNNNNNNNNNNNNNNNNNNNNNNNNNNNNNNNNNNNNNNNNNNNNNNNNNNNNNNNNNNNNNNNNNNNNNNNNNNNNNNNNNNNNNNNNNNNNNNNNNNNNNNNNNNNNNNNNNNNNNNNNNNNNNNNNNNNNNNNNNNNNNNNNNNNNNNNNNNNNNNNNNNNNNNNNNNNNNNNNNNNNNNNNNNNNNNNNNNNNNNNNNNNNNNNNNNNNNNNNNNNNNNNNNNNNNNNNNNNNNNNNNNNNNNNNNNNNNNNNNNNNNNNNNNNNNNNNNNNNNNNNNNNNNNNNNNNNNNNNNNNNNNNNNNNNNNNNNNNNNNNNNNNNNNNNNNNNNNNNNNNNNNNNNNNNNNNNNNNNNNNNNNNNNNNNNNNNNNNNNNNNNNNNNNNNNNNNNNNNNNNNNNNNNNNNNNNNNNNNNNNNNNNNNNNNNNNNNNNNNNNNNNNNNNNNNNNNNNNNNNNNNNNNNNNNNNNNNNNNNNNNNNNNNNNNNNNNNNNNNNNNNNNNNNNNNNNNNNNNNNNNNNNNNNNNNNNNNNNNNNNNNNNNNNNNNNNNNNNNNNNNNNNNNNNNNNNNNNNNNNNNNNNNNNNNNNNNNNNNNNNNNNNNNNNNNNNNNNNNNNNNNNNNNNNNNNNNNNNNNNNNNNNNNNNNNNNNNNNNNNNNNNNNNNNNNNNNNNNNNNNNNNNNNNNNNNNNNNNNNNNNNNNNNNNNNNNNNNNNNNNNNNNNNNNNNNNNNNNNNNNNNNNNNNNNNNNNNNNNNNNNNNNNNNNNNNNNNNNNNNNNNNNNNNNNNNNNNNNNNNNNNNNNNNNNNNNNNNNNNNNNNNNNNNNNNNNNNNNNNNNNNNNNNNNNNNNNNNNNNNNNNNNNNNNNNNNNNNNNNNNNNNNNNNNNNNNNNNNNNNNNNNNNNNNNNNNNNNNNNNNNNNNNNNNNNNNNUGCUUCACUUUACCGAGGACAUGACUCUAGAUAGGAAGGAGUGGAGGUCUCGUAUUAAGGUUGUAGGUUAGUAGGGCUAGCGUGUUGUCUUCCCUUGCAAGGGUAUGGGUUGUUAGCAUUUGGAGUAGACCUAGCCUUAUGUUGUUUACUGCGUUUCACGCAUCGCAUUACUUUCUUGUUGUUACUGUCUCAUUUGUUGAUUAUACGCUAUCGUUUGUAUUGGCUGUUAUGUUUUAUAUAUAUCUCUCCUGUCACUUAGAUUUGUUAUUCUUGAGCUGAGGGUCUCCCGGAAACAGCCUCUCUACCUCCACGAGGUAGUGGCAAGGUCUGUGUACAAUUUACCCUCCCCAGACCCCACCUAGUGGGAUCUCACUGGGCAUGUUGUUGUUGUUGUUGUUUUAAGGUAACUUUUAUCUUGAGCCGAGGGUAUUGGAAACCAUCGUUCUAUCUUUACACUCUAUUUUUUUUUCCAGACCUUAUUUUGUAAAACUAUACUCAAUAUGUUGUUGUAACUUUCGUUAGUGAAUGAAAUGUACAUAUUCCACCAACAUAUAAUUAGGGGUAAUUUAGUUUAUUUUAUGCAUAUAUUGUGUAAUGUAGAAAUCAAUAUUAGUAUAUGAUUGUCAUGUUUUUUUUUUUUUUUUUGAUUAAUAGUGCAUAGAUUAUAAUGUUAUGAUUAACAAUAGAAGGAUUGAAUUGAUUUUUUUUUUCGUUUUAAAAAUAUUUGUUUCGAAGAUUAUUAGUUUAUAUUUAUACAUGGUAUAAAAUCGUGCAAUUUUUAAUUUUUUUUUUCCACAUUUAUUAGGAAAAUCAAAGCAACACCCAUACAAUAUACUAUAUAAGAAUACUUUUUUUCAAUAACAUGUGUUCACUCAACUGACUCUGAUUGUGGACUUUAAUAAUAUUGAAUAAUUUUUUAUGUCACAAAAAAAUAAAUCCACAAUAUUGAUAUUAAAUUUUAUACAAUGAUCAACUCCCGUUACCAGCCAAUCGAAUGAGCUUAUUAAACUUUCUUUUGAUAAAUUAUUGGAAGAACAUAUUAAUCAUAAGUAAAAUUUAAAAGAUAAAUAUAUUUUUUAUUUAUAUUUAUACAUAUAUAAAACUUGUAUGUAAAUUUGUCAAUCCUUUUUUAGGGACACAAAAAGAAAAUAUUAUUUGUCCAAAAUAUUUCAAUUAAUUAAAAAUAUCACAAAAGAAAAGGAAAACCCGAAAAUGGGAAACUAUAUAAUUACCCCUUUCUUCCUCUAAAACCCUGUAAUGCUCUCUGCUGUUCUGUUUUCCCUAAAACCCACAAGAAGGGUCCUUCUUCUCAAAUGGCGAUCGACAAGAACAACUUAGACGAAGAAGCGUUAAGUUUACGCUUUUACAAAAUUGUUCUCAGUUGGGACUACCUUGGUCUCCUCAAAGAAUCCGAUGUAAUUUCACUAUCUUUUUUUGCAAUUUCAUGUUUUGUAUUUCAAUGUGGGUUUUAAUAUCUAUGUAUUUCAAUUUGUUUAGCGGAAGAAGGGUAAAGGGGAUGAUGACAACGCUCUUGUUCUGAAAAAGGCCAAGAAUUCGUAUAAAGAUGUUCAAGAUUAUCUUGCAACAUUCGAACCUCUUUUAUUUGAAGAAGUUAAAGCUCAAAUAAUACAAGGGAAAAAAGAUGAUGAUGAAGAAGGUACUUCUUCUUUGUUCUUGUUCUUGGUUAUCUAACCCCAUAUUGUUAAUGUGUUUAGGAUUUUACCAAAAAGAAAAAGAAAAACACAUUUAAGUGAUUCUUGCCCCAAGAUUUUUCGUUUUUCCGUUCCCCUUUAAUUUUUUCCCACCCCUUAGUUUUCUUUUUCCCCUUAUUCAGUGAAGAACUAUAUUUCUUUUUGUUGUGUUUUCGAGUUGAGUUUGGGUUAGGAUAUCUACAAUUAAGACGAAGUUGAUGUGUAUGUGGAUUUUUAUGAUAAAAAAACAUACUAAGAAACAACUACGCCGUAAUCUCAAACCAAGUCAAGAUUGAUGAAGAAGGUACUUCUUCUUUGUUUUUGUUAUCUAACGCCACAUUGUUAAUGUAUUUAGGAUUUUAUCAAAACAAAAAGAAAAACACAUUUACGUGGUUCUUGCCCCAAGAUUUUUCGUUUUUUCCGUUCCCCUUUAAUUUUUUCCCACCCUUAGUUUCUUUUUCCUUCCUUUUUCCCUUAUACUGAAGAGUAUAUAUCUUUUUUUUUGUGUUUUUGAGUUUAGUUUGGGUUAGGAUAUGAACAAUUAAGACGAAGUUGAUGGGUGUGGAUUUUUAUGAAAAGAACCAUACUAAGAAAACAACAACGCCAUAAUCUCGAACCAAUUCAAGAAUGACAAGAACUAUCUCUUGAAAAAUUUGAAGAUUUUGAACUAACUUCGGAUUGAAGCACAGUAGUAGUUUUUCUUGUUGCGUUCAUUGUUGGGCAACCUUAUAGAGGUGUUAGUAGAUGAAAGAAAGGAUGACUCUGUCCACUUGUUGACAUGGACUUAUGCAUGAGUUAUUGGAUUUUCAUUACCACUAUUAUGGAUUCAAGAACAACUAAUACUAUUAUGAUUAUUCUUGUCUUUAAAACUUGAUAAUGAUUAAUAUUUUCACAAUUUAUCACCUUGAUUGCAAUUUCAUAUACAUAACUAGAAGCUUAUAUUGGUGUAUCUUCAAGAUCCAUUUUAUCAUUUUAUUUGGUUGACUUUGUAUUCACGUACUUAGCAUAUUUGUUCUUGGGAAUUGUAGAGACACUUUGGAUGAAGGCAGUAACUGUAGGGUGCAGUGAGAUUGACGGAUUUCACUUUCCGAUGAUUUCCUGCAGUGAUUCUGAAUCAAUACAACAGAAUGAUCUGUUGUUACUUUCAAAUAAGGAGGUACCCUAUUGCUGUGAACUUUCUUUAUGCUUUUCAGUUGUUUACUUUUAAUGAGUCCAAAAUGUGUGUUGAAAAAUUUGUGUCCCCAUGCCAUCCUACUUAAUUUUGAAUACAAGCAUUAUAAUGUGAUCACCGUACAUCGUUGUUUUCUUUCUGAGGUCUCUUGAUUGUCCGAAAUUAAAAUUUUUUCUUCAAUAUUUCGGUGCUUGUGGUAAAAUAUUUGCAGUUUGGAGAUGGUAAGAGACUCCCAACUGCAUAUGCGUUUGCGUUGGUUGAGGAUCGUCGACCAGACAAAAUAAGACUUCGGAUGCACCUUAGUGGAGAGGUCAAACAAUUGAAUACACAGGAAAUCGAAGCUUGCUCUAGGCUUUUGAGUAUGCGUCCUCUUGUUACCGAAAAUGCAAAGCUUUUGCAUGUUCUUAAGGUACCCCGAAAUAACUUCUAAAUUCUUGUCAAAUUUCUUUGUGAUUCUACCUUACGUCUUUUCUUACAUGUGGUUAAUAUGUAACACUUGGGCUGAGUUUAUUAUACUUUCUGGAUGAAGCUCCACUCUGAAAAACGAGAUGCUGUGUCUGUGUAGAUCAAACUUACAAAUUGAGCUAAACCAAAUUCAAAAGGAUACUGAUGGAAAUAAUGCUAUGCCUGAUUUUGGUUCUUUAUGUACGAAAACUGUGUUAAGUUGCAGUAGAUAUGCUCAAUGUUUAUUUAUGUUAGUGCAAUCUUGGUAAGUUAGUCAUGGUGAAGAUGAAUCAGUUCACCGCAUGUUUAAAGCAAGUACAGCAGAUUCAGAUGAUUUGCAGCGAACUUUGUUGAGACAUGCUAAUUUAUUCGUCUGCUUCAGAUUUAAUAUUACCAAGUAAACAAAAAGUACCAGUUCCUAUAUAGUUAAAAACUUAAAAUUGGUACUGCUUUUAAAGAAGAAAAUAAAGUAUCGUAUCGUAUUGUGAAGUGAUUUUCCUUUUUUACAUGCGUGCUUCAAUUUGCAGAUAUGCAGUUUAUCAACUAUAGCCCGUGAAUAUGUUGCUCUGCGGUCAGUGAGCUCCCUCCCAUUCAAGGAUUUGAUACUAUCAGCAGCUGAUAGCAAUCGUUCUACAGAAGAUCAUGCCUGGAAAAUAUCUAGACCCUUGAAGGAAUUUCUUGAAAACAAUCACAACAAGUCUCAGCUUGACGCUAUUAAUGUGAGUUUCUAAAACAACUUUAUUAUUAUAUGCAGUAAGCACCUUUCUAAUAUAUUAAAUUUUACAUAAGCGCGCGCGCGCACACACAUAACACAUAUAUAAAUGUAUAUAUGCUGUCUAUACCAACUCAGUGCUUCUGUCCCCCUUAAUGACCUAUUAGUAGUUCUCAGUCAUGUAAAAUUUAGCAUACAUUUUUCUUAUUCAACAUUUCUCUUUGCAGGCAGGGCUUUCCCGGCAAACUUUUGUGUUAAUACAGGUUUGACUUAUCCAUUUAAUUUCUAGGUUGUAGAAACAAAAUAGUCCUUUUCUUAAUGCUCUUUCAAGUGUUCUAUUUUGUGAUUUAUGUACGUAUGUAUCUCGAAAAGCCAUGACGAGUGGAGCUGCUCAGUGCUCAAUUGUUUAUUUUUAUUUAUUCCAUGAAAAAUACUUUAAUGUAUCAAAAUUACCACAAAAAGAGAUUAGUGUAUAAAAUUUAAAAAGGCAGUGGUUGAUAUUCAAGUUAAUCUAGUCUCAUUGAUGCUUCUUAUACGGAAAGUUGGAACUUUAAUAGAGUUAAGUAUUUAACAAAGUUCAUUACUCUAGGGUCCACCAGGGACUGGAAAAACACAAACCAUACUUGGGAUUCUCAGUGCCAUUUUGCAUGCAACUCCUGCUAGAGUACACUCCAACAGGUAUGCCGCUUAAUUUUUUCUUAGUUACUGAGAUGUUUUUAUAUUAGAAAAAGAAGUCUGGUUGUUGCUAUGGCAUAUUGCCUUCAACGGAAAACAUUAAUGGCUCACCUUUAUUCUGUUUAUCUGUAUAUAAUACAAAGUUUUUUCCUAAUGGAAAGGAUAAUACAUUCUCUUUUAUCUACUGAAUUUGUGCAGGGUGAAGUUGAGCAGUGUAAAACGUGGACCAGAAUUAUCCAUGUCAGACAAGUAUGUCUACAGAACAUACGUGAACUCCUGUUGAUAUUUAUAAAUACGGGUUGAUUGAUGUACUUAUCUAAAAAAGAAUAUGUCUUGAUGUAUCUACGUAUAUUUACCAGCCAUACAUAUGUGUAUAUGCAGUCUUUUAAGCUCUACAUGAUGAAAGGAUUAAGUGGAAAAUCGGGUGAUAAAAUCUUCAUUAACUGUGUAAUCCUCAAAGCAUAUUAAAAUGACAGGGUAGAAACCAUUGUGUGGAUCAUUUUGUUUUCCAAGUUGUGCCACCAUAUCUAGAAGCAAGAUCCUUUGACUGUGGAGAUGAAGCUAAAUAUAUAUACACUUGUUAACUGAUUAUUGUGAAGAUCCAACAUCUCCUUUCUUUCUGGAUGGAUGGAGAACCUGGGCGGAAGAUGGUGUAUUCUUUUGGAUUUUAUUGGCUGAGUGAUAUCCUCAAAAAAAUUUAUUGGCUGAGUGAUCUAUACAGUUUAUAGGUGUAUUUGUUGGCUGUUGACAACUUGUCUCCCCUAUUUUACCAAUGCUUCUUCGAGAUACAUGCAUAAUCUGUAUAAAUUCAAAGUUCAGAAUUGUGUAAAGGAUUCCUUUUCCAGAUCUCUUUAAGACCUUGUUCCUUUUGAGUAUCUCAUAGGGUAAACUGUUUGAACUUUGCAGAUACAAACACUGGGGACAAGCAUCCCCAUGGUUAGGUGGGAUUAAUCCUCUAGACCAAGAAAUGCCAAUAGACGGGGACGAUGGAUUUUUCCCUACAUCUGGCAAUGACUUGGUAUGUUUGAUGUUGUCCAUCGUAAUGAUAUGAGAAAUUUAAAUUUGUGCCCUCUUACACUAAACUGUUUUUCUAGAAACCAGAAGUAGUCAAUUCCAGUCGAAAGUAUCGUGUUCGUGUUCUAGUUUGUGCUCCGUCAAAUUCUGCUCUCGACGAGAUUGUAUUGCGCAUUCUAAACACUGGUAUGCUCUUUUUUAUGUACAGAUUUCUUCUCACACAAGUUGUAGUGGUGUUGCUAUGAUGAAUAUUAUUACAUGAUUGUUGAAUUUACAAAAUUAUAGGACACUUUUCUGCUCCUUUUGUGCUUUUACAACGUGAAAUUUCCAUUAUUCUGAAAAUAUCCUGAAGAUCUUUUUACUGAUCUUAUAUCAGUCACUUUGAAGCUUUUCGUAUCUGUUCCACUUGUGAAUGAAAUAGAUAUAACGCACAACAAUGUGAUAACUAAGUCGAUGAGUGCUAUGAGAAAUGUUGGUAUACUUAAAUUUGCUUAACCGCCCAAGGCUGGGCACCGGAACGGGUUGUACCGGUACCAUUCCGGUCCGGUAGUAUUCGGGACGGGAUGGGAUACAUUGAACCGGUACACGGAACGGAACGGUACCAUGAUUUGGUACCGGUAUACCGGUACCGGUUCAUUCCGGUUCCGUUCCGGUCCGGUCCGGUACCGGUCCGGUCCCGGUAAAUCAUUUUUAAUUAAAAUAAAAAAUAAUAUUUUUGUCAUUAUUUACUUUUAUUAGCAUUUCUUUUUUGUUUAUUUAAUUUUUUUAAAAUUACAAACUUAAGUUAUUUAACUUACAAGUUAUAAGUAUAACUUAAUAACUUAUAAACUUCAAAAGAUUCAAAUCUUUAAAACUUAUAACAUAACUACAUAAGCUCAAAAACUAAAAAAAAAACUUUAUUAAACUUAACUUACAAACUUAUAUACGUAAAAAUUUAAAAAAAUAUCUUUAAAAUAAACUUAAGUAAAAUUAUUAUAAAUUUUAAAACUUAAAUACUAUAAACUAAUAUAACUUAGAAAAAUAAAAAAAACAUUCGUAUUAUCGUAAUUCAAAAUAACUCAAAAAAAAUAAUUAUUUUUUGAAAUAGCUAUAUGUGCCGUCCCGUUUAUCCCAUCCCGUUCCGUUCCGGUCCAUUCCGGUCUGUCCCGGUAUAUAGUGGGACGGGACGGAACUGAGCCUCCAUCCCGGUAGUUCCGGUCUGGUUCAUCCCGGUACCGGUCAAACCGUCCCGUUCCGGUCCGGUACCGGUUCGUUCCGGUCCGGUGGUCCCAUUCCGGUCCGGUGCCCAGCCUCACCACCCUUACAUUAUCGGUUACCCAAGGGAAUGCAGUCAUCAGUAAACCUGUAAGAACUCUUUACCCUGAGCUGUAUCACCCAAAUGCAAUGUUAUUCAAAGUGAAGAAUAGAAGUCAAAUUUACUUUUUGUUCAUCUUCUCUUGAAUUAUAACACGGAAAAAAAUAUAGCGACUUUCUAUCCUGUGCUGGCGAUGUCACCAUAGCCUUCUCAGGUAAAUAAUUAGAUGUCAAAUUUAUGUCUUGGUUCCUUUUCAUAAAUUAUGAUGUGUGAUGGGUACUAGAACUGUAGUCCAACCAGCAUGCAAAUAUUGGCAGAGGAAGCAUAGGCUUUUAGACAGAAGUUUUGAACGAAGUGCUGAGCAGAUCAUUCCUGUAGUAGCAAUAUACUGUAGUUUGAGGUCAUGGAGGUUGUUUCUAGGCCAUCAGAAUAUAACGUAGAAUAAGAUUGCUCUUUAAGGUAAUAGGCUUAAAUGUGGGAAAACCUGAAAGAGAAUCUACAGCUUUUCUAAGGCUCAGAGUUGCAACAAAGUGAUGAAAUUGCAGCCCGCCGAAGCAAACGCUUGAGCAUUAGAGAAUCAUCAAAAGGGUUUGGAAGAAAUCAGCAACACAAACAAAACCCUCUGUAGUACACUUAUCGUCUAACAAGCAUAGCCUAUGAUCUUGCAGGAUUGGAAGACUCACAAAAAGGAAUUCUAUACCUAUGAUGGUUUUUAUUCCAAUUUUAAAGGUGACUUCGAAAAGAUACAUGAUUUUUUUAAUUGAGAGAUAUGAUAUGAACUAAAGGAAAGAAAUGAGAUGCUCUGCCUCUUCUCAAUAGAUUUUACUUCUGCAUGUAUUUAUCACCCCCUGGAAAAUAAGAAUUCUACUUAUAUAUGUAUUUGUUUCUUUAGCUUAUGUAAUCACCAGUAAAGCUCGAUGCCCACAUUUUAUCGUCUUAUGAAAGGAAAUCACAAACAACCUUGUGCUCGGAAUGUCUUCUGCUGCAAAAUUGCAUUUAUGACUAUCACUUUCAGGUCCUUAUAAAAAGGAUUAUCAAUUUCAGGUAUCCGGGAUGAAAAUGACCGUGCAUACAGUCCUAAAAUAGUACGAAUUGGUCUUAAAGCUCAUCAUUCAGUGCAGGCAGUCUCCAUGGAUUACCUAGUCUGUACCUUGCACUUGUCUCUCAUUAUUCUAGAGAUUCCAGUGCCAAUUGCAGGUGGUCACCUGGUAGGUUUAUGUGUAUGUAGGUGGAACAAAGGCUGUCCGGCAUGGACUCACAAAUUGGUGAUAGGCAGAAGCAAGGAGGGCCUGUGAAAGAUAAAGACAGCAUUCGUGCUUCUAUUCUGGAUGAGGCUGUAAUUGUAUGCCAGUUGGACCUCUUUCUGUAGCUAACAAAAGUCCACACAAUGUCAGUUGGACCUUCUUUUUAUAACUACCUAAAGCCAGUCAAUGACUAACCUAUUAUGAUGUGCAGGUGUUCUCCACUCUUAGCUUCAGCGCUUCCCCUGUUUUCACUAAAUUGAAUCGUGGUUUUGACGUUGUUAUAAUAGAUGAAGCUGCUCAAGCUGUAAGAUACUGUGUCCUCUAUAACCUUGGAUAGAAUCUAAUGGUUAUCAUUAUAAAAAGAAAAUCUAAUGACUAUUACAUGCCAGUAUAUGGUAAUAUCAGCUGAACAACUCGGUCCUUAUUGUUUUUGCUACCUGUCAUUGUCAUUUGUUGUUCCUCUUCAUUGGGUACACUUAGCAAGUAAUGCUUUGAAAUAUUCGUUUACUUUACCUUUUUGCAUUUUAAGUUUGUUUCCCACACCCGUAUUAUCUUUGAAGCCCACUCCCUCCUGGAGAAAAUUUUAGUCCUGAAAUAUACUCUCUUUUAGUAAAACUUAAUGGAGAUGAUGAAACUGACUUCAGCAGCUCUGGGUUGGGGACAAAUAUACCCCAGAACUAUUCAAAAUGGGUUAGUUUUACCCUCUGUUACGUUUUUGGCUUAGAAACGCCCUCCAGCUAGCAAAAUAGAUCAAAAAUACCCUUCUUUCUAACGGUUGCUCCAAAACAAGAAAAAGGGUCUAAUUUUUAUCCUAGAACUAUGCGAAAUAAGACAUUUUUCCCUCCAUUUUAAGUUCUGGACAAGUGCUCUUAAUUGUGAAGACUUGAGUUAAAUUGGACCAUUUUUCUUGUUUUGGAGCAACAGUAAGAAAAAAGGAUAUUAUUUGAGCUAUUUGGCUAGUAAGAGGACAUUUUUGAGCCAAAAACACAACGGAGGGUAAAACUGACCCAUUUUGAAUAGUUCAGAGGUAUAUUAGACCCUUUCCCCUAAACAAAAUAAAACCCAUUAGAAGUGUCAUAGUUCACAAGCAAAAUACAAGUACCAAAUUGCAAAUUAUUGAAAAAUAAUCCUGCAGUGUAUGCAUUUGGUCCUAAUCUUAUGGAUGAGUCCAUUGAGUCAUACCUAACUUCAUACAAAUAUGCUUAAAUGGUCUGGAAUGACAAAAGUGCAGUUCAUGUUAAAUGAGGAAUUUGGUAUCCUGGUCCUUAUCUUAUGGAGAAGGCAUUAACAGUUCUUGCCUUAGGAAUCUAAGAUAAUUUAAAUGGAACUUGCUCAAGUGGUCCAAACCUUAUGUAGUGGAAAUAUUGCACUUGCUAAGGAAAAAAAAUAGAGAUUUACGGUUCUACUUUAGGGGGAAAAUGUGGUUAAAACCAACCAUUGUUACUUGCUUUGGCCAUAUCGAAGGCACUUUUACAGGGAGUUACUGCAGUCAGUAAAAUGACAGGUUUGUGAAAAGUAGGGAGGUGCUACACCUCUUUUCUCACUAAGGAAGAGUUCCAGUCAAAUAGAGAACACAAUGACCAUUACAAAAUUCCCGUCGAAUAGAGAACACAAUGACCAUUACAAAAUUCCCGUCGAAUAGAGAACACAAUGACCAUUACAAAAUUCCCGUCGAAUAGAGAACACAAUGACCAUUACAAAAUUCCCGUCGAAUAGAGAACACAAUGACCAUUACAAAAUUCCCGUCGAAUAGAGAACACAAUGACCAUUACAAAAUUCCCGUCGAAUAGAGAACACAAUGACCAUUACAAAAUUCCCGUCGAAUAGAGAACACAAUGACCAUUACAAAAUUCCCGUCGAAUAGAGAACACAAUGACCAUUACAAAAUUCCCGUCGAAUAGAGAACACAAUGACCAUUACAAAAUUCCCGUCGAAUAGAGAACACAAUGACCAUUACAAAAUUCCCGUCGAAUAGAGAACACAAUGACCAUUACAAAAUUCCCGUCGAAUAGAGAACACAAUGACCAUUACGAAAUUCCCUUUCUGGACCGUACCCGAACAGAAACAGACCUGUAAUAUUGCUAAUUCAUAUACGACUAAUAUGUUUUAAAAUUUCAACAACAUACCAGUGUAAUCCCACUAGUGGGGUCUGAGAAGUUCCAAAAUUUCAAAUUCGGUAAUUCUAUCUUUUAUUGUUGGUGUGAUUUUUUGUCAAUAAUGUAAAAGACCAUAUACAAAUAAUUCAACUAAUAUACCACCACCAUCACCACCAACAUAGCUAGUGUAUUCCCGUGAAUGGCGUCUGGGGAUGGGGAGGUAGAGUGUAUGCAUAGUCCUUACCCCUACCUCCUUUGUUUCUGAUAGACCCUCGGUUCAAGGUUAAGCAAUUCAAAGCUGAUCGAAAAAAGAAAUGAUAAAGUAGAGAAGUCAUGACAAAAUAUUAUAGAGAGCAUGCCAAAGCAGUCUGAAAAAAGGAGCAGUAACUACAACAAAAUACUAUGAUAAUCGAAGUACAAGAAACAACAAGAGAAAUACUAAUAUCCCUUAACAUACUAAUAUGUAAGUCAAACUACUGCUCAAACUCCUUGAUAAUCAUGUUCCUGACUAUACAUAUAAGUUAUGAAAUAUCUUCUAGUAAUACUAUUUGUUGAGCUUGCCUUGUACUGUUGUAUGUGAACUAACUGGAUUUGCUGACCAAAUUUAUUGAGCUUCUGGAUUUUUCUCAUAAUGGCUGGCCGAUUUGUGUAGAGCAAUGCUUAACAUCAUUAUUAAACAGGUGGAACCAUCGACACUUCUCCCGUUGUCCAAUGGAUGCAAACAAGUAUUCCUGGUAUGUAUGUUGAUACAAAUAUGCAUGCUGUUUCCUCAAUAUUUUUUACUAAUUUUAUAGUAUUCCUUGAGUUUGGGAGAUUUGGGCAUACUUCCCAUGGUGGACUGUUCUUGUCUUCUGGAAUAAAAAUUAACUCCAUGGUUUUGACAUGAAUGAUAUAAGUCUGACCACCUUUUUAUCGACACCUUUUAUCGACUUCUCGUUUGUGGGAUUCCCCAACAUGUUGUCUACUUUCAGUGUCAUGAUAGCUAAGAACUCAUAUUUCCUGCAUUUUAUCCCCUUCAUUUAUUUAAUGAGUGAACCUUAUCUCCACACUACUGAAAAUAUUUCAAUAGUAUUUGAACAUGUUCACUUGUUGGGUGAGUAAAACUACAAAAAAGCAACAAUAAAUGGUUAGUCUAUAGAAGAUGAAAUAUUUCAACUGUUGCCCUAGACAUUACAGAAGAUGUGUAUUCAAAACUAUUAAGUUCUAUUACACAUUAGUAACUAUUUUUGUUUAUCAAAAAAUAAAACUGUUUGCGUGCCAAAGUUCCCUUGCUACAUAUGAGCACUUCUGAUACAAUGAUAGUGAUCUGUGUUUUCAGAUGUGCUUUAUGCUGAAGAGAAUUUUGAAAGCAGCACUAUUCCUUUUCUCCUUUAAUAUGAAACUGUAUCUUAUCAGGAAACAUUUUAAACUUUUUUUUAUCUUUCCCAUAUUUUACAGGUCGGUGAUCCAGUUCAACUACCAGCAACUGUGAUCUCACCUGUUGCUGGAAAAUUUGGGUAAAGCAACUGCGUGACUGCAUCUAGUUGCUGUAAAUAAAAGAUCAUGAAACAGAAGUAUUUUGCCUCUUUAACACUUUUGAGAAACAAGUACACAGGCUCUUGUAACUUUCUGCUGCCAUCUUGUCUAAAGAAGAGAUGUUUUAAUGGACCAUAAAAAAUUCAUUCAGCUUCUUUGACUCUCCAGGCUUAUCUAUCCACCAGGGAUUCCCAUCCUUUGACCUGCCAAUCCCCUCUGUUCCAUAUUUCACCCUCACUAACUCUGCUCCAGUCUACCAUUCGUUUCCUGCUUGGUUUCCUAUUUCUAACGGUCUUUUCUUUUAAUCAUUCCAAACUUUCUUCAAAAAAAUAAAUAUGAUUUUCCUAUAGAACUUCUUAUGAUUUUUAGGUCUAGACUCUCUGUAUGACAAAUAUGACAUCAAAAGUGUGUUUAGAAAUGAAAAUGGAGAUAACUUUGUUUUCAUUUUUCGAGAAAAAAUCCAACUGUUCCAAGUUACCAGAUAAGUUCUUGGAAAUCCUAAUUCCUGUUUCUCUAAUUCGUCUUUCCUCCUUGGGUGUGGGAUUGACAGAUACUGCACCAGCUUAUUUGAGAGACUUCAGAGGGCGGGAUAUCCAGUACAGAUGCUGAAGACUCAAUAUCGCAUGCAUCCAGAGGUUUGCGAGUAUUCUCUUCUAUGGCAUUAUGAACUGGCACACUUUAUGCAACUGCUGAGACAUUAAUCCCAUUUAUUCAAUGUCCAGACAUGUUUCCAAAAGCUCUAGAAACUGUUAGGCCUUUAUUCCAAUUACUAACCGCCAAAUAAUACUGUUGUCAUUGACCUAUGCCCAUUUGACUAGAAAAUAGUUUUAGAGACUUGGUCUCUAAUAGAAUUACAUUCAUCAAGGAUGCUGAUUUUGCUUACUGUUGCAUUGUGCUUGCAUCAGAUCCUAAAGCAUGAGAAAUGCAUUUACUGAUAACUCAAAGAAGAUCAAAUGUUUAACCUAUGAAUCAUGCACCCUUAUUGCUUUUUAUCUUGAGAUUAUAAGAUUUGAAAAUGACAGAAAGUGAGCCUUGAGAAAUCCACAGAUAAAUGGAAUAAGAUGCAGAGUCUUCGCACAAUUUGGAACAGACAACAAAGAAAAGAAAAUAUAAUUGUAACGUCAAAUGCAAUGUUGAGUUUAGGCCCGUGACAGGAAGUUCAAAAUGUUCUCUGUUUUGGGGAUAAAUUAAUUUAGUUGUAUCAAAUUACAGAUAAGGAACUUCCCUUCCAGAGAAUUUUACAAGGAGGCUCUUGAAGAUGGGCCUGAUGUUGAAGAGCAGACAAAGCGUUCUUGGCAUGAAUACCGUUGCUUUGGACCUUUUUGCUUUUUUGACAUUCACGACGGGAAGGAGUCCCAGCCAUCUGGAAGUGGUUCUUGGCAAAAUGUUGAUGAGGCUGAAUUUGUGCUUGCAAUGUAUCACAAACUGGUCUCCAGAUAUCCAGAGCUUAAAUCAAGUUCCCGGUUAGCUAUUAUAUCACCAUAUAGGCAUCAAGUCAAACUCUUGCGUCAAAAGUUCCGAGAAACCUUUGGAGUGGAGUCUGACAAGGUAGUUGAUAUCAACACUGUUGAUGGUUUCCAGGUAAUCCUUUGAUUUUUUCUGACAGAUUUCCUGUAUCAUUUAGCUCUGAAUUGUGCUAAAUGAGAUUCAGGCUUUUGGUUCUGUGAAGGCCAUCAUACUAGAUUAAUAGUUAAAUUUACCUUCUUCUCUGUAUUUGGUAGAGUGAAUAAUUUCACUUUGUUACAGGGACGUGAAAAGGACGUUGCAAUAUUUUCAUGUGUUCGAGCAAGCAAAGAUAAAGGCAUUGGUUUUGUUGCUGAUUAUCGGCGAAUGAAUGUUGGCAUAACCAGAGCUCGGUCUUCUGUCCUGGUAUUCAUUUAGCAAACGAAAAUGAUAAUUUUCUAGUGCUCAAUCCUACUUUUUGUAAGACAGUUAAUGUUCUGUAAACAAUGUUCUUCAUUUUGAUUUUAGGUAGUUGGUUCUGCAUCCACGUUAAGAAGAGACGCACGUUGGCAAAAUUUAGUUGAGAGCGCGGAGAAGAGAAAUGCGCUCCAUAAGGUAAAAACUGAAGGCAUAAUUAUGUGUUUUCCAUCUUGAGGGAUGAGGUAAAUAAAGAACACCUUGUGUUGGAAAACUGGACAGCACAAGAAAAAUGACCUUAUUCUUGUGCUGUCCAAUUUUUAGCUUCCUUUAUUACACUCCAAAACAGUGUUUGCUUUAAUGUUACACAUUUUAAGUUUUCUUUCCCUUUGCUGAACUCCUCCAACAUUGUGUGCAGUUUGUAAAGUUUCAAGUUUCACAAGGUUCCUUUUUAUACCUCAGCUACAUCCUUGAUUUCUGUGAUUCAAUUAACAUUUAUUUGUUUAUUUGGCCUCCCUUUUAGGUCUCCAAGCCCUAUGCUGAAUUCUUCAGUCAGGAGAAUCUCAAAUUAAUGAAAGUGGAGAUUGUGCAAGACAAACGUGAGGCUCCUCCAGAAGAUAUGGACAUUGAAGUGCCCAUUGCUGCUGAAGCUGAUCAAGCCCCACAGGAUGACUGGGGUUAUGCUGGAGAAGAAGGGGGCUACGAUGAGGACUAGGUUUGUCUACAAUUCUUUCUGCCAUCAUUUUUUUUUGACAAAUAUGAAUUCCCCUUUUACAAGAUUGUUCCAAAAGUCUCUCGAUGUAUACUAGAACAUAAUUUGUAGGUAUCAUAAUGAUGUCCAAAUCAUUCUAGUGUAGAGACUGAAUUUCAAUUGAUUAUUGGAACAACUUGAUAUAUGAUUUGUAAGGCUAAUCUUAUUAAUGGUUACUUGUACUUGGUGUCCAAAAGGAUUUGGCAUAAUGGUUAAAAUCAAAUUAUCAAUUCAUUUUUUAAUCAAUCACCUACCAGUAGAAUCUCAUAAAGUGGAGUUUAUGAUAUUUUACACCUAUAUAUGUUGUUUUUGAGAAAUUUUCAACUCAAGAUUUCUAAAGUAGUUUCUCAUGCCUUACUUUAGAAAAAAAUAUUGAAAGAGGGUUGUACGCAACUUUAGAACUUCUUUUCUUUCUAUAAAUAAAUAAAUACAUUGAGUUGAAAAUAAAAAUAGAAACCUUUAAUUAGUUCAUGCACGCAAGUUUGUUUGGGAGAUGAAUAAAUGCUUUUGCUUUUUUUUAUUUUUAUGUAGUAUAUAUAUAAAAAAUAAAAAUAAAAGGUGCAAAGGGAAGCAAAGAAGUGAAAUGGGGACAGAGAUAAAAGGACAAAAUAAGGAAAUCAAGUCUCACACGUAAAACCCACUGAUAUCAUUACAUUAAUUAAUUAAAUAAAAAAAAUAGGAAUACCGUAUUUAAAGAACUCUAAACACAAAAUACUUUGGAACGCAAUUAGUUACUAUGCUUUUGAUUUUUGAUAAAAGAAAAACGGAGGACGAAAGUAAAGGAUCAAAUAAUAAUUCUUCCUCCUUUUUUAGUUGUUAUAUUAUGUUUUUCGAAAAUUAAUUUAAUUAAUUUUAAAAGUUAUAUUAGAUUGCAUUAAUUUGAAGUUUCAAAAUAAAAAUUUAGAUGCUUAAAAAUUAUAUAAAAAGUACAACAAGUUACAAUUUUUUUUAUAUCAAUAUGAUAAAAAAGAUUGUUAAUCAAAAUCUAUACUCUCUCUGUCCUUAAUUACUUGUCCAUUUUUGAAUUGACACACCUAUUAAGAAAACAAUUAUUGACAUAGUGAGUUUACCAUUUUACCCCUAUUAAUUAUGAAGUGGAUGAAUUAAAAACUUAAGAUUUUCAAGAAGUUAUACAUUUUUCAAAAUAAUUAAUUGAGGGUAUAAUAGGUAAAGUUAUUUUGUCAUUUCUUGAUUUGUCAAAAUAAACAAGUAAUUAGGGACAACUAAAAAAAGAAAAGUGGACAAAUAAUUAGGAACAUGGGGAGCAUCAUUUGACUCUCAAAAGGAAACUAUGACAUCUUCGGCACAAUAUCUUUUAAAAUUUUUUUUACUAAAUAAUUAGUGAAAGAAACUAAAAUUAUAUGAAAAUAGUAUUCCACUGUCUCAAUUUGUGCGACAUUUUUUAUUUUUUGAGAGUCAAAUAAUUUAAGUUUGAUCGAAAAUUUACGCAUGAAAUCUUCAAUUUUUUUGAAAUGAAAUUUAUAUAUUUGUAAACUACGUAAAAAAUAUUGUAAGUCACAAUAAUUGACAAUUCAAAAUAAUAUAAAAAAAUUAUAAUAAAAAAUAGAUCUGUUUAAACCUCAAAAUUCGAAAAGUACAGGAAGGAGUAAUUAAGUUGAGGAAGUUUCGCAUACAAUGAAUCGAUCCGAUUCCCGAGAAGUUUUUUCUUGUAGGAUAGCGCCAAGAAUAUUGCUUUCGAAAAAGACAAACGAAUCUACUGAAAAAUUGUUUCCUGAGAAUUAACGCAUUUCUUUUUCUUCUUUUUUGGGAAAUUCAGGAAAAUUGAAGUCGUUGUGUAAUACUCCAACUUGUAAAUUUUAUAUUAAAAAAAUGUAAUCGCAUUUUAACUACUCAACUAUUUCUCUCAAUUAUUAGCAUAUAAAUUAGAUCAUGCAAUAAGCUCAAUUAAAAAGAUACGCUCUCUAAUUUAUUUAUUUUAAUGAGAAUUUGUGUUUCUACUAUCGAUAAAGUGUCAAAUAUACCCUUGUACUAUUAGAAAUAGUUUAAAUAUAUUCUUCGUUAUACUCUGAGUUCAAAUAUACCCCUCUCAUUAUACUUUAAUACAAAUAUAUUUCUACUUUUUAGCUCGCAAAUCACAUAGGAGAGGUAACCCACACUAGGCAAGCCUGAUGCGACGAGCUCGACCCAGAAGGCAAACCCCUUGCUUUUGCUGGCAAGGAAUUUUGAACUUGAGACCUCCAACAUGAAAGUCCCAAGCCCAAAUCAUUAGGCCACCCCGAAGGGUUAUACCUCUACUUUUAAUGGAAGGACAUUUGUCAACUUAGAAAUCAAAUAACCCACUCUCAUUUAAAUACCCAAUUUGAACCAAACCCUUUUCAUAAUCAUCUUCUCUACCAAAUGGGUGGGUUUCUAAAGGGAAUUGGGUAUUUAAAAUUGGAGGUGGGUUAUUUGAUUUCUAAGUUGACAAGUGUCCUUCGAUUAAAAUUAGGGGUAUAUUUAUAUCAAAAUAUAAUGAGAGGGGUAUUUGAACUAAAAGCAUAACGAAGGGUAUAUUUAAAUAAUUUCCUCUAAAUAAUUUUAUUAAAUUUGUAGAUGUCUGCAUUUUUUAGCGGUUCCUGCCGGCUGUAAAUUUCUUCAUUUAUUUAUCAAAAAGUCAACCUGUUAUGAUACUUCAAGCAUUUUUUUAAUAUAAGAAUACAACCAUUUUUUAUUUUAUAUAUAUAAGACUUAAUUAUGAGAAAACUUUUAUCCUUUUUUUUUUUAACUAAAAUCUUUUUUUCUUUUUGCAAUUUAAAGUAAAAAAUAUUACUCAUGGUUAGGGGUGUUCACGAUUUGGAUAAAAACCGAUCCAAAUCGAAAAACCAAACCAAACCGAUAAAAUAAAAUCGAUUUUAUUUGGGUUGGGUUUGAUUUGGUUUUAGAUUUUUGAAAACCGGUAGUAUUUGAUUUGGUUAUGAUUUUAUUCGAAAAAAUUGAAGAAAUAACCGAACCGAACCAAUAAAUUAUAUACAUAUAUUUUAUUAAUGUACAUACUUAAUAUAUUGUUUUAUAAACAAUUUUGAAGAUCUUAUAUAUAUUUUCAUUAAAAUUUCCUUAUACUUUACUUAUUGAAAUCAAGAAUGCCCAAGGUAAAAACAUUUAUCUUAUUGAUUUUAUGUAUAUGGGUGUCUAUGACAAUUCUAUGUGAGAUUGAAAAUGUUAUUGUCUUUUCCUUCUAGGCCAAUAUAGUGAAUUUUAAAGUUUUAUUGAUAGUAAAUUCAGUGAUCGAAAGUUCAGUAAUUUAAGUCAUUCUAACUAUUUUUUUGUUUUGAAUGGAUUGUUGUCACUUUUUUUCACAUUUUGAACGAAUUGUUCUUUUAUUUUGUGUAUGGUUAAUAACCGAAUAACCGAACCAAAUCAAACCGAAAUCGAUAACCACCAAACCGAUAAAUGUAUAUUAUAUUUGGUUUGGUUUGGUUUUGAUAAUUUUAAAAUCGAUUAAAUUGGUUUGGUUUUAGUUUUGACCAAUAAUCGAUCCAAACCAACCCGUGAACACCCCUGCUCAUCGUAUAACAUGUUAACUUUUCAACCCUUGCCAUUUUCUUUGGCGGCGAUUACUAUAGUACCUCAAGUUUAAUAGGCUUAUUUUCCUUUUAAGUUUUUAUUAAAAAUAUACUUUUUAUAAAAUUUUAAUAGGCCUAUUUUUUUACUUUCAUAUCGGGUAUUUUGAAUAUAAUUUCUCUAUCUUAUAAUAUUAUGAAUAGAUCUAAAUUUCAAUUAUAUAAAUAAUUUUCUAUCUGACAAAAGUAAUAAAAUAUUUAUUAGAAGAUGAAACUUUUUUUAAAAUUUGGUACGCUAUUUAAGAAAAAAAAAAUAUUAUUAAAAUUAAAAAGUUAAUUUUUUUAAAAUUACAGUGUGGCGUAAAAUUGAACGGAAAUACUUGAAAACACUUGUUGGUGUGCUAUAAUAAGACAAACUAGUUUGGAGUUUCUCUUUUCCACAUUCAAGUAAGCAGUUCUACACGCCUCUGGAGAAGACGAGGAAGAAAAGCUGAGAGAAAAAGGGAAAAGAUCCAAAGUUUGUGAAAUUAUAAGGAGUUAUUGUGUAUUUUCAGAGGAAGAAAAGGGAAGGGAGAAACGAGAUCCCUACGAAGUCGGCAACUAUGGCGUCAAAGGUGAUGCCGUCAGCAUCAACAACGCCUAAUUCGGAUCGUUCUUUACAUCCCCAAAACCCAACUUCUUCUCUACAUCACUCUCAUCCUUCUAGAAACUUCGAUUCUAUGAACAUGGAUGAAAUUCUCAAGAACAUUUACUCUGAUUCCGACCCUUUUGCUUGUUCUGUCUCUGCAACCGCCGCCGCCGGCGGUGGUGGUGAUGAUGUGGGGCCUACUAAGACUGUUGAUGAGGUGUGGAGGGAAAUUGUAGGAGGAGGAGGAGGAGGGGGAGGGAGUAGGGAGCCGGAGAUGACUCUGGAGGAUUUUUUGACCAAAGCUGGGGCGGUUACAGAGGAGGAUGUUAGAGUUCCGGUAAUCGCUCCUCCUCCGCCGCCUCCAGCCACGGGGGCUCCGUCUUCCGGAGGGUUUGUGGUGGAUAACAUGAUGGGUACUGGGAAUUGUCAGUUUCCGGUGGCCAUGCAGAAUGGACCAGGGGGGUAUGGUAUGGAACCCCAACCCCACAUGGGAUUUGGAAAUGGGGUUGUGGCUAUUACUGGGAGUGGAAGAGGGAAGAGGAGGUCAACAGUGGAGGAGUUGCCGGCUGAUAGGGCUACACAGCAGAAACAGCGACGAAUGAUCAAGAACAGAGAGUCUGCUGCCAGGUCUAGAGAGCGAAAGCAGGUGUCUUUUGCUUUCAUUUUAUUUAAUUUUCUAAUCAUGUGGAUGAUCAUAGGUUUUGUUUUUUUUGGGGCGAAAAUUGAGACAUGCAUGUGUGUUAUUAAUGAAAUUUCAGGCUUAUACAGUGGAAUUGGAGUCUCUGGUUACACAAUUGGAGGAGGAAAAUGCAAGGCUGGUGAGGGAAGAGGUUAGUUUAAGUUCUCUUCCAAAGUGUGGUUGAUCUUGCUUAACAUUCAAGCUGAUUGAAAGUUUUGUUCUUUUUCAUUUGAACUCGUUUUUCGAAGUGAAGUUGGCUGGUAUUAUAAUUUUGAUUUCCGAAAAUUGAACGAGUCUUCUACACAAAAGUUUUUAGCUUUAUGAAUUUCAGUUGCACUGUACUGUAGCCUCGCUCAUCUCAGCAUUUUGGCUUCGGGCUUUGGUUGAAUUCAUAUCUUUAGGGUACUUGUGAUUUGUGAAAUUUCCAUUUUCUUGGUAAUAAAAGCAUUCAAGCUGAUCUAAAGUUUUUCGAAGUGAAAUUGGCUGGUAUUAUAAUUUUGAUUUCCAAAAGUUGAAUCAGUCUUCUACACAAAAGUUUUUAGCCUGUUCAUUUUGGCUUCUGUCUUUGGUUGAAUUCCUAUCUUUAUGGUACUUGUGAAAUUUCCAUCUUCUUGGUAAUAAAAGCACGUUUUCUUUCUGUUCAUUUUAUUUUUAAGAACUGUAAUGCUACUUAUUAGUAGUUCUGAUUUCUUGUACUUGGAGCUUGUAAAAUUAAGUUUCGUGUAGGAUAGUAUGUUCCAAGAAAUUUCUAAAACAACCAAUUCUUUUGGCCUUAUGCAGGAGGAAAAGAAUAAAGAGAGACUUAAGCAGGUAUGAAUUUCGCUCCUUGGCGCUAUAAUACUACGCCACUUCAGUAAUAAAAUUUAGGAUGCAUUAGAAAUGAAAUUCUUGGUGUAUAUAUUCUUAUGUAUUGCUCGAUUAAUUCUAUAUUCUUGUGCUUGUUCUAUUGUCUAAUAAACACAGACAUGCUCCUACUCUUACUGUUUCGUGUUGCUUGCAGUAACCUUGGUACUAUUUUCUGUUUCUCUGUAUGAGCUGAGUUUUGUUAUUUUCCACCUCUUAUAUAAAAUUGAACUUGUUCAUUUCUUGUGACAUUAUUGCUUGUUGCUAUUCAUUCUCUUGUGGACACGGAAAGGAAUUCAACCGAUUAACUGAGCAAAUUGAACUCCAACCUCACUAUUUUUUGUGUGAGGAUUCAGGAAUGGGUCAAGCAGUUUAUAAACAACUAGUUCUUCAUGUGGUAGUCCUUUAUGCAACAUUGCCAAAUGAUUUACCUGCUUACUUAUAGAUCUGCAAUUCUCCAACUCUAGACAAUCGGUAUAAAAGCACUUCUCUAAAUUGCUACCCUUGUUGCAUUUGGCUUCAAAAAAAGCAACCCAAAAUUCAAAAGGUUCCUACAAAAAACACGGCAAAAGAAAGAACCAAGACCUUAAAGAUGAAGUCAAUCAUGACUAGAAUGCAGAACACAGUGCAAAUAUAUGCACACACGUGUCGAAUUGACAACUGUUUGAUUUCUUCUUCAUAAAUCUAUAUCUUGAUGGAUAACUCCAAGAGUAUUGAAUUGUCGGUCAGAUAUAUGUACUUCAAACUCCUGUGAAUAAUAGUCUUUGGAACUUCUCUCAAAACCAGCUUAAGAACUCCUUUAAAUUUUGAUUUUUCUUAAAUUCUUCAUCUUUCUUUCCUUUUUGAAUUAGGAAACAUUUUUUGUGCAGUCAUACUCAUACCUAUGCAUGUAAAUAGACUGUUCUUGAUAUAACCUUAUGCAUUUGUAUAUAAGUUGUAUGUGUCAAACACAGUUAGUUAGAGUUCGGAGAUGAUUCCAUGAAGUUCUCUGUUGCAAUGUCUCUUGUAUUCUUGCUUACACUUUUGCUUGUAUGGAGAUUGGUUCUUCCUCUUUAAAACAUCAAUCUUAUGCUGAGUUAAUGUCAGUGUAAGGGUCAGGGAGGUUGAGAUUUUUUACUACAACUCUGCCUUCUGAUAGUCUAUGUGCUACUUGCCCAUGAGAUUAAAGAUAUCAAACUCAGUGGUAGUAAUUUUGCGAUCAGAAGGUUAGUUUCUUUCUAUUGGCACUUAACCUAAGACAGUCUUUCUUGUCUCUUUUUUUUUAAGAAGACCUUGAAUCUUCCUAAACUAAGAUCAAUGAUCUUUGCUAUUUUCUUUUUUCUUCUUCUCCUUUUCUAAAACAGUCAUUUUAUUUUCUUAAACUAAGAUCAAGGCUCUCUUUUCUUCCCAUCCUCUUUCGUGAAGCAAACUCUGCAUUUUUUGAAUGGAGGGAUGGAAUAGGGUAUGUUGGACCAAUCAAAGAGAAGCUGUUCUACAUUUUCAAUCUAUCGGGUGUUUGGGUGAUCCUACAUUGAACCUGAAUCUGUUUUUGACGUAAUUCCUCCUGCAUGAACCUGAAUCUGAUUCUGAUAGUCGUCCUAGUUUUUAUCAUUGGCUUUGCAUUGUUCUGCUCUUGUUAUUUCAAUAAAACUAGUUACAGGGGGACAUCUUAAGCUGUUCUUUUCCCCCUAAAUUAGAAAACUUAUAGGUAUAUAGUGUGAGAAAAGGGAGAUAUAACGAAACAAAAAUGGAUCUUGGGAGAAGACUGAAAGAGCUAAAGGAGUCCAAUGGAAGAUUAAAAAUUUCAUGAUAUUGAUCAUUUUUUUUUUUUUUGUGUAGUAACCCCCUGGGUCUUAUGGGGAAAAGGAAGUGGCGGGGUUCCAAAAGAUCCAAAUUACCCCCUAUUGUCCACUAUUUUGUGUGGUCAUACAUAUCAAAUUCUAAAGACCGGUAUUACUUUUUUAGCCUAGUUUUAAAAUGAGAUUUGUAUGUGAACUUUAUGUUUGCAGUCUGAAUAAGAUGUGUUGGGAGGUUGCUUUCAGUUGUUGGAAUGUGUCUGUUCACAGUUCAAUAUUCAUUUUCAUAUUAUUUCCGUGCAGAUUAUGGAGAACCUGAUACCAGUUGUAGAGAAGCGAAGACCACCUAGAGUUCUGCGAAGAGUUCGGUCUAUGAGCUGGUAGGUUGUCUUCAAAUCUCCUUAACCAUAAGAAGUAAGAAUCGACAUGGUGCUUCUGUUGGAGCUGCUGAGAACUCAGAGAAGGAAAAGGUUGUUCUGGUUACCAAAGGGAUUUGGGACCGCACAUAGUCUGUAGUUUAACUUAUUAGAUAACAGAACCGUUAAAGAGAGCACUGAAGGUGAAAAAAGCUGCAAAGUUCUAUCAUGAAUUAUGCAUGACUAGGGUAUGUAGUAUAAAAGGCUUGUAAGCUUUCUGUAGUAGAAGAGAAUAUAUUGUAGUUUUAGCUUCCGCAGGCAUAUCAUGCUGGUUGCAGGGAAGAAUGAUGAACUUACUUGGUUAUAUGUCUAUACUACUAAUAACUAAUGUUACAGUAGUGUCUGUUUUUACAAUAAGAGGUGUUCUUAUUUAUACAAGUAUUUAUGUUCCAAGUCUUGAAUUAAUGUCUGGAUUAGCCACAGUGAAAUUGGUAUCUAAUCAAAGUAAUGCAUUGUUUCCCUGUGCCUUGCAAUUUGAUCAGGGGCAGGGCAGGGCAACUUUUUUCUUUUAGAAAAAAUGCAAAACAUGGUAGAGCAAAACAUGGCAGAGUAGGGCGGGUUAAAAUCUUAGUAGUUCAAGGCCUGCUCCACCUUAAUCCAUGACCCCAUGUAUGAUGUAACUAACUAGUUCCCACGAUUCGCCAAUUUCAUAGACUAAACUAAAAGAGUGAUUCAGUCGAUUCAAAGGUAAGAAAAUACCCCUCAUGGGACAUGACAUUCGGUAGUGAGUUAUUCUCAACAUUUUUGUUUGUGACAAAUUUUAGGCAAUAUCUCGAAGAUAAAGAUUUAUUCUGAUAUCAUGUUAAAUGAGAAAUUAUAUAUAUUUGAAGUGGCAAUAUUGUCAAAGUGACACAUAAUUGAACAUCCUGGCCAACAAAAAAGUAUGGUGGGAUCCAUAAUCAGCAAGAUCCAAAACAGUUGUAAGAGGAAGCAAAUAGCAUCAUGUCUGACAAAUGUCACAUCAGAAAUCAGAAUUCGGAAAAUUCCAACCAUAGGAUUUAAAAUCGAACGAAUUGACUGUCAACAUAACAAGUACUUUAUUAAAUAUCUAUUACUCUUAUGCUUCUUAAAUAUCCAUCACUAAUUUUGAAUGUAAAACAAACAUGUAAGGCCAAUUUCAUUUCUUGUUUUGGUUUCAUGUACUUCUAGUAUCACAACACACAAUGGAGUCUAAUAACAUACUCGGUAUAAUUCUACAAAUAGAAUAAUGUAGAAAGGGUAAGACAUGUGCAGAUUGUAUCCGUAGAAAAAUUGUUUCCGAUAGACUGAGAAGUUUACUAAAUAUAUCUAUAAACCUAAUUUAAAACUCAUUUUAAUCAUACCAGAAUUGUCAUGUGCCCUGAUACAGGCUGUUCUCACAUGGUCUUAUUUGAUAGCAAGUUAAGGAGGGACCAACAAUAACUGCUCAAAUUUAAUGUGCAACCCAUCUUAUUGACAAAUGGGAUGACUGCAUGCUGCAGACAUGUGAGGCUGACCAAAAAUAAUUAUUUAUAUCAAAUAAACAUAAAAAAGUUUGAACCAAAAAAAAUGCAAGGACGAUAAAACAGAGGUAUCAACUUCAACAUUAAAUUGAGAUAAGGUAUAUUUCAUAAUUAAAGUAACAGGAAAUACUCAGGAGUUGCUGUCUUAAAUGUCCCAGAUAAGGGUAACUCAACCUGCAGAUAAUGUAACAUGGGACAAGAAUUCCAAGUUGCAGAGGGAGUUGCUUAAUUUAUUCUAGCCAAAAUAUAGAAUGGGAAUUGCAGAAAUGCAUAAAUCCAGUAAACCAAAAGACUAUAUCAAAAACAUUACUAUAUUAGUAUGACUGAAUGCUGCAAAUACUAAGUAACAACUGCGGAUCGAUCGACUAUAACCAGAGCGACAAAGGAAAUCAACCACAAUCACAUUGAAUGAUGCAUGCUUAAUUUAAGCAAGCUUCAGGGGAAGUAUAUCUAUCACUUGAUUGCAGCUGGUAAGAAAUGGUGAAGAAAAACACUAAGACGCGAAGAAUCAGGUGGUUGAAUAAGAUAAAAUCUUGCACUUGUCCCUGCAGUUCAAAGAAGGUUGUCUUUUCAUUUGGGGAUUCAGUGCACCUGAAUGAGCUAAUUACAUUCCUAACAUUAUGCGUCUAAAAGACAUUGAAAUCUCUGCAAGGCCAAAAUUACUGUUAGACGAUCUCUGCAUAUGGUAAAUACCAAGUAUAUGAACUUAGAACUGACAACUCUUAUCAGCUCCUCAAAUUUCAACAUCAUUGACAAUACAAGGAUUGUCAUGUAUUCAUCAGUUAAUAUGUAUGUCACCAAGGAGAUACAACAAAUCAAUAGCUGCAUUCAAGUAAAAGUAUAAUCAUGACAAAACACCUUCUCCACCCCCCUCCCAGAAAAAGGAAAAAAAAUUAAAAAAUUUAGAAACCAUCACAAUCCAGAACAUGAAAAUGGAAACUGGUUUUACAUAAGGUAUAGUAGUGCAUACAAACAGUUACCUGCUAAAACCACAGUUGCUACAUUUGUUUCCUUUUUUACUUCUUUAAUACCAGCAAAACCAAAAUAGGAAUGUAUAUAUGUUUUUUCAUUUUGUUAGAACUUGAAGACGACAUAUAGUCUAAGGCUGAUUCGCACUUCCCAGGAGUUCAAGACCCUCUGCCCGGCAACUCAUAAUUUUUCUGAAUACUUCCUUUAAAUUGCGUUCUAGUGGAGUAAGACCAGUCUUAAGAACUUCAGAGACAGCUGAUAAAUCUUCUCCACCCUUUUUUAUUUCUUCCAUCAGAUCCUUGGUCAACGGUAAUUGAGCAGAGUCUAUCAAGUCAGUCAAGUGAUGGACACAUUUUUCUAGCUUAUAUAUUUCUUUCAACAAUCCAUUUGAAUUGCGGCGCUCUGGCUUCUUAGCUUCAUCCAUUAUCCUACCAUGAAGCAACCAAAGGGCAUUGCUCCAUGAGAACUGCCUUGGGAUAGAAAAAUGAAUUUGGAGGCUUCGAUCUUGACAAGGGACUGCAGCAACAAGAGCCCACAGUACAAACAGGAGAACAAAGUUCAUUGUAAAGACAAGGUUUGCUAUCCCAUUUGUUGCAGCUAUUUCAUGUCCACGGGGAGGAACCAAAUGGCUUGCAAUUGAUUGGAGCUGUUUAGAUGCUGACCAAGAUUGAGACACACUCCAAGAUAGAGACCUUGAGUGCCCAGAAGGACGACGCUGGUGAUCCUUGGUUUUAUUAUGGCGUCCAAAAGAACGGUUCCUCUGGGAAAGAACGGUUCCAGUUUCUUUCUCUUCUAGCAUCACAAGAGCCAAAUCCAUCAGACUUUUUCUAGUCCGACGUAGCUGACCAUCGCCAAUCGUCUUUUGUCGAGAAUCCAAUGAAGAAACCACAAUUUCCAAAUGCUUCUGCCAGAGUCGAAUUUUCCCAGUCCCAUCACGGGCAGCAUUGCAAAUAUCAAGUGCUUUUAUAGUUCUAUCAAAGUAGUCAGCCAAAAGCUUAUCUUGAGGCGAUUUCAAGAGGAGUUCCUUAUUGUUGCUCAACACGAUUCUGAACUCUUCCUGACAACUGUUAAACACAUCUAGUAACUUCCGAAUCCAUGCAAUGGAAAGGAAUUCAUCACCAGAGGCAACCGACAGUUCCUGAAAUCGAGUAGCCACUAGAUUCUGAAAUACUCCCUGCUCAAUCUCCUGAACAGUAGAAUCAUGAUUCAAUUCCACAGAAUGAACCUGUUCACUUCUUAUACUCAUAAUUGAACGACGGAAUGACGCAAAUGGCAUCGAAGAACCACGACUAUCUGAAGAAGGCAUUUUCACCCGCUAAACAAAACCUCCUCAAAAUCUCUCCCUUUUUUUUUUUAUAAGAUUAAGUAACACUGCAAUUGACAUAACACCAAACAAGAAAAAGUAAAAUCAGUUAACAAGAGAGGGAAAAAAAACCCAUCAUUUUUAUAACCCAAUAUAGAAAUCCUACAAAUUUCCAAAGGAAACACAAACAGAAAUAAGACUACACACCAUAAUUCAGCUAAAUGCUUAUAUCAAAACAGACCCUUUAAGGGUUUUAACGGUUACAAUUCCAAACAAAAACCAAAACCCACUUCAUAUUCAUAGAGACAAAAUCAACAUAAACCUCAAAAACAUGGAAUUUCAAACUCAAAAAACAAACCCCAAAUCAAAAUUCAAUUUCCAAGAAUUAGAUCUUUAUGAAACAAAUAAAAAGAUUGUAACUUUGAGUUAAUAAAAAGCAAGAAGAAUACCUGAGAAGGAAAAGCUAGUUGAGGAAGAAAGAGGAAGAAGGGAACAUAUAUUGAACCCUAGAGAAGGACAUGAAGGCCCCUUGCCUUUGCUGGUGACACAAAAUAUUGGGUUGCAAAUCGAGACGUAUUUAAGAAGCAAAUGAAAAUAUAUUACAGUAAUAAAUAUGGCAAGUUAACCAAGACAAGUUUUUUUUUUUUUUUUUUAAGAGGUAAAGCACCAUUUCUUGAUUUACGAACCAGAAUGUUUUUCAGGUUUUUGCAUUAAUGGUCUUCGAAAUUUGAACUUAUUCUAUUUCUCCCCCUCAAACUUUUAUAUUUGUACUUUUUCUUAUGGUGGUGCUAAAGGUAUUUAUACUUUAUUCCUUUUUAUAUACUACUCUUUGUUCUUAUGCUAUUUUAUGGUUCUCCCAAAUGGAAAUCGAUAAUUCGAAUUGUAAUAAUAUCGAUUUAGUGAUGAUGGGUUAUUAAUUUUGUAAUUUGGAUAAUAAUUUUAUUUUUUUAAUUAUCGAGUCAUUGAUUUUAAUGAUUUGAAGUUUUUUUCUAACAGGUUAACCAAUAACUCUAUAGUAAAUUAUAUAUAUUAUUCGGUAAAUAAAGUUAUUGACUUAGAAUUUAAUUUCAUAUUUUUAUUUCUUGUUGUCUCAAUACAAUGUGCUAGUUUUUUUUGCUUUUGAGCAAGAUGGAUCUGUUAACUCAUGUGCUGGUGUGUAUGAUUCACUUGGUUUGUCACUUUGUUUUUGAAUGUUUUUCAACAUAUUCGUUUUGUGUCAAAUCUUAGUGAUUAAAUCGUGAUCAAUAAUCGAUAAAUUGAUAAGUCAAUAUCUUAAUGAUUCAAUAACAAAUCUAGUAUAUCUACAAACCAAUAAUCAAUAAAUUAAACCAAUAUACUUCAAAUCCGAACAAAAUCGAUCAAUACGCAGACAUAACCACAUUUAUCUCGGUGACCAUUGUUUGCUUCCUCCUUGCAUCAUUUGACAUCUUUUGUAUUUGAUUACACGUGGAAAAGUUAUUAAUAGCAGGUGCCAGGUGAAAUUACGAAAAUCUGAAUUCACAAAAGAUGACAAAUAUUUACUGAAAUAUUAGAUGUGUUAUAAGUUUGUCUAGAUACUAAUCAUAUUACCAUUAUCAUAUGGUCAAAACAACACAGACACUCGAAUUCGCAACUUUCUGGUUGAAAAUGGGAGGACUUACUAUUCGAGCAACCCCCUCUCGUUAUUUUAUUUUAUUUUCUUGUGUUGUUUUUCUUUUAAGUGAUUUUUAAAAUCUAGGUGCAAUUUAUCAAAUUGAUUAAAUUUAAAAUAAUAAUAUAUUCCACAUCUUCCUAGACAUAUCUAUUUCAUUGGGUUUUUCUUCGAGAUAGUGUUUCAGACUUUUUGAAUCAAAUUCUUUAUUUUAGACAUGCUAUUUUUUCCCCAAAAAAAAUAAAUAUCUAACAUGCCCAGUUUGGACUGUACACUAACAAAGCUAUAAUCUUUGUUUUAUGUUUGAUAACUUUGACAAAUUAAACCAAUUCUUCAACAAUAAUAUACAUAAGUUAUGUGCAGGUGUAUCUCUGUGAGUAGAUAAAGUUUUAAGUGUAAUAAUGAACAAUAAUUUCAUUAUAGUGUUGCAAUAAAUUUAUUAAAAGUAGUUGAAAGUGAUUUAUUUUGGAUUUUAUAUGUACAACUUUUAAAAUACUCCCAGCUUAAUUAGACUUGAAGUAAAAUAUUCUAUUUCUUGGUAAAUGACUUGAAGUAAAAUAUUUAUAGUUGACUAGUCAAAGUAAUUGAUUUAGACUCAGAUACCCGUUUAGUUUUCAAGUUUCAACCAGUUAUGUUAAAUGAAUUUAAAUUCCAAAUAGAAAAAGGCAUAAUACAUGUGAGAUACACUUGAAAUAAUGUCGCAUUAUGCCACGUAAAAUUUGUAUAUCUAUUUAUUUAACUUUAUACAAGUUUAAAUAUACACGAAUAUCCUUGCUCUUGAACAGUUUUCAAGUCACAAAUGCGAUAAAAUGCUCUUAAUAUUACAUGCGUAUAAAUAUCUAGUGUAAUCUCAUUUUCUGGUGGAAAUUCUUGUAAAUGGCAGUGAUGUAGUCGGUGCCCUGCGCAUUGAUCAGAAAUAGAUUUCUUUUACAACUUUUCACAGGAAGCAUUUUUACGCCAUGGCGUAAUUUUAGGGGGACAAUCUCCAUUUUCAUUAGUGAAAAGAAGUACAACAAAUCCAGAAUAGAAGCAUUACAGUUAAUAACUUUAGGCACCCUAAAUGUAAAAAUGUUAUAGCUCUAUUCACAAGCCAAUUUUGUGUCAAAGCUGCUCAAGCAGAUGGCAAAUGCCUGAAAUGCAGAUAGAGGAUACCGGUAGUCCAUGGUAAACAUAUCUUUGCCUACUUUCCCGAAUUGCAAGAUGAUUUUGUCAUGAUCUGAUUGACUUGUUGGCUGAGAUGUUGUCGGUGCAGCAGCAGGUUGUUGAGUGGCAGCAAUCAACUGGAAGUUCUUGACAGAUGCAACUGUCACUCGUCCUCGGAAAUUCAGACACCAGCACUGCAGUUGUUCAUGCCAUCGUGGAGCCUUGUUCUUUAGGACCAGUGGUUUCCCCUUGUUAUCAUCUUCCUCAUUAGUUGAUCCUCCAGCAAUAUCAGAAAAUCGCGCACUACUGAACUCCGUGGAAUGAUCAAGAGACUUUGAGAAAGAAAUGCUGCGGAAUGAAUCCUCAAGGGGCCUUGAGAGAAGCUUUGGUUGACCAGGCACAGAGCCACCGGCUUCAAGGGCUGAGUCAGGAAUUGAGUGCAUGACGCAGUGCAUUCUCCGUGGACCCCGUGUUCCAAGCACAUUCAGCUCGUAAGUGAUCUGGGAUAUGAUAUAGCUUCCAGUUGGGACUUUAGGAGAGACUUUCUUGGAAGUGAAUCUACGGCUUGUGCGCCCCGGAGGAGGGACAUGUGCACCGGUGUGAGGAGGCUGUGUGUCAUAUAUAAUGAAUUUUGUACCUAGAAAAUUCGAUCUGCAAUGGACAGUGAAAUUAUAUCAUCCCAUAAUGAAAGGAGAAUCAAUAAUAUAAAUGUACUAGUAUUAUUUAAGAUACAUUCCUCAACAACAGAAUGGAAAAGGGACUUUGAUAGCCCAGACUAUAUAAUAAGAUGAUGCCACAGAGAACUUCAUUUCAGCUUUUAUCUAGGACAACUAGCGUCACGUAGAACUUCUAUUUUCCUGAUCAAUCUAUCCACGCGUAAUAGACUAUAUGUCUACUUAUUUUCCAUUGAAAACCAUGGCUAAUUACUGACGAAUCUCAAGUCUCCACGGUUGCUCAUGCUUUAGUAUUGGUAUUAGCUAACAACGGAGAAACCAUUUUUGAGGAGAAGGGAUGAUGAAUAUAUCAAAUGCGUGUUUCUGUUCUUUCAUUAAAUUAAGAUUUCCUGAUACAUCUCAGUAAUACCAGGUAAAAACAAGAAAGUUAUUGGAAAACAAAUUGAAUAGCUUGAGUAAUUACCUUAAUUUUCCAAUAUAGGUGUUGCUUGAUCUAGAGAUGUUUUCUGCAUCCAUUGAGAUAACAUACUCUGUGCAAGUCGUACGUCUAGUUCUUUUUGCAGAGAGAAGGAACUUUCCAUUCUCAACCAACAAUGCUACAAAGAAAGUUGAAAUACUCAUUAACCUCUGAACAACUGCCACUCACAUAGAAAUUAUAUGGGCAAUGAAGCAAGAGUAACUAAAGCAGUAACGCAUCACAACCAAAUAUCUCUAGACAGAGAUUACAACUGGAAAUAUAAGUCUCUAUGAUAUCAUUAACUCAAUUGAGAAAACUUUUAAAUUAUUUUGAUUUGUUUCCACUUUACGCCUUUGGGUUUGAGUGGGAAGGGACGGGGGAGGAACAGAUCAGUGGUUUCAUCUGACAGGAGAUUGGAAAGACAGCAAAGAUAAUGGUUGCCUCCUGUUCUAAAUUGCAAGUACCUUCUAUAUGCCUCGGGUGCAAAGAUAGUAUCAUUGAAUUUUUUCAACGAACGGAUGAGUUAAAUAUAUGUAUGUAAAUUAUUUAAGCAUCAAGCCAAUAUCAGCCUACAAUGUAAUGCUUACCAGGACUAAGACACAAGAAAAGAUGGUAAGUCAAAUUAGAUUUAUCCCGCUUGAUGAAGCACUGAAUAGUUCCAUCACGAGGCCCAGGCUGUAAAGAGAAGGUAAGAGAUUAGUCAAUAGACUUCUCUAGCAUGUAACUUCCACUACAACUAUCCAACUCUAACGGUCAAUAGAACUGCCACUUGGGUUGAUCCCACAGACCACACAGCAACCACAUAUUUCUGAACUUUAAAAUUUAAAUAAGUUAGCACAAGAAAUAUUCCUUCAAGCUAAAGUAGUACCUGCUUUAGGGAAACGGGAAAAGUUAGCUUUCCACAAAAUUCCGGAUUUCUAACAAUGUCUUUGCACAUACUCCUCCAUGACCUACAGACUGCAGCACAUGCUACAACAUGCUUACGACCGGGCCAUGUGCUCUCACUCUCCUCUAACCUUCUAACUACAUCAAAAAGUAGCUCUGGAGGAAGAUUGGCCCAACAACUAUCUUGGAUAACAGGAGGCUGGUCACUUAAGUCAUAAAAUGAACCAUGUGAUUUGUCCCUAUGAUGACCAGACAGCCUUAAAUCGAAGCUUCGCCUUGAUAAGCUACCAAUACUAUCUCUUACAUCACGAACUAUACUGCGGAACGACAUCUGAACUUGAAACUGUUAGGUCAAAGGCCAAACACCAUAAAUAAAUGUUACUGGCCUAUUAACUCUUUCAUAUCAUACAAUCUUCCAGUAUCCUAAAGAAAGCUUGACAAAUAGUUACAGCUGCAAAAGAACAAGAAAACAAGUCGUAUUUCAGUAACAAGAAUAGAUUUCUGAAGAAAAACGAAGAUGAAAAAGAAAGAAAGGCAUAUAAAGAGAAAAGAAGGGAAAGGGAAAAGAAAAGAGCAUAAAGAGACAUCUUCACAUGGGCACCUAAGUAAAGUAAAUCACAUGACUGUUAACAGAUGCAACUUCUUUAGAUUCUUAAGGUGCUGCCUCAUGCCAGUUGUCCUAGCUGAGUUGCAAGAAAAUGAGUAUAAAAGAUAUAAUUGCUUUCAAAUCUCAUCAAUCUUUCAGUCAAAUCAUCAUUAAUAAUGAAAUAAGCUACUCACAUAGAAGAUGUAAACUCGCUGAAGUUGACACCAACAGGUAUACCAAGCACUCAAGCAGUUCAAAACCAGAUUCCAGUUCAAGAAAGGAAGAUUCAACUCUUUGUCAGUUUAUCACUCAAUGUCUAGAUUCAAGUCAGGAAGUUACAAAUUCAUUUCUCUCUCAAAGCUUAAUACUAAACAUAUCAUGCAAAUUCCAUAAGCAGCUACGGAGACAACCAGAGUCUAUAAAAAAACGUUCAUAGCCUUUCAAGUACCAAUUUCAUUAUUGCAGAAGCUUUACUGCACCGGGCUGCCCUUUAUCUACUUUUUUUUUUGCCCUUUAUCUACUUAUGACCAAAAAGAAAAGGUUUUUUCCCUGUUAACUUUUUCUAAUUACAAACCAACAUAGAUACUUCAUUUCACAUGAAAACCUACAACUUAAACUAUACAUACAGGUUGAGGUACAGAUGAAGAGUCCAGAAGAUAACAAACCUGCAUAGUGCUCUAGGAUAAUCAAAGCUCCAUAACUUCUUUUAGAAUCCUGAAAAACCCAAGACAACAAGAUAAAUUUCUCAGCAAAACAAAAAUUAAAACUCCAAAUUCCCAAAAGAUCAAUAAAAUCAAAAAACAAACCACCCCUCUACACCCAACAGAAAAAAAGGAAGGUAAAAAACUUCAAUCUGAAGAUGACAACCUUAAAAGAUGAGAUUUUUACCAAAAGGGGUAACUUAUCUUCACACCAGAAAACAUGGGGAAAAAAAAGAAGCCAAAAACUAGAUAACCCAAGAAUAUCUCCACAUUUGCAGAACAGUAAACAUACAUAGUAAAGAAAGAAAACCAAGAAACAAAUCUACAGACACCAAGAAACAUAAGAUCUGAAAAUAAACCAGCAGAGCUCAAAGAUCAGAGAUCUGUACCUUAAAACAAGAACAAGAACAACAACAGCAUCAUCAAGAAACCAAGAAUUUCAUAGAUAAGAUAAGUAGAUCAAGAAAGGUAAAGUGGGUCAGAGCCAAGAAACAUUAUUUUUCAGAAAUAUCAUCAUCUGUAUGAAUCAGUAUUUACUACAAGUCUCUAUCUUUCUCAUCCGGACUCAAACCCCAACAUUAAAUGCAGUUCAACAAACCAGAGAGAGAAAAAAAGAACUGGUGAAGAAGAAGAGGUAAGAGAAGAAAAGGGGAUAAACAAAAUAGAAAAAGAGGAUGUUGCAUAUACUUUAUUAGCACUAAGAAAAAUAGUUUAAUGGUGGUCACACACACACACACAAAAAUAGUAAAUUGGGCACUACGUGAGCAGUAUCCAACUGAGGCUGCCUCUACGAAGCUACCAACAUAUGAGACAUGGGAACAUGGAGUUUUUGACUUAUUCUUUUGCUCUUAUUUUAACAAGGAAAAAAAAACUAAACUUUUAUACUCCAACAAACCCGUGUUCAAACUUCUUUAUAAUGACGUUGUUAUUUUAUUUUUGAUUUUUAAAAACGAGUUUCUUUCGUUUGAAAAAAGGAAUGAGUACAUUCUAUUAUAAGUUUGUUUUUAUAAUCAUUUUUUUUUUAAUAAUAACUUGAUAACAGAUUUUUAUACAUGUUUAGAAUCAUAAGAUUAAAAGACAUUUUGAUAUAUUUGAUAUAAAUUUAAUUUAGGAUCACCUAAUUAAAAAUCAUAUAACAUAAAAUGAAAAUCAAUUUUAAACAGAACUUAGUUGUUAUGAUAAAAUAUUACUAAGGAACGAUUUUUACAUUCAAAAAUUUCCUUUUUUUUCUUUUGUAGAUGUUUGUUUACCUUUUCUUUUUAUUUGUCUAAAAAUGCUUCUUUUUUUAUACUGAAACAAUUUCUUACUGUAGAAAUUGCAUUAGUAUGUAAGGAAUUAAUAUUUUACAUUUAUAGUAGCAUGACUAAAUUUACUGAAUGUGUUAGCCAUAUAUUAUACGUUACGCAUAUAGCAUUAAAUAAAUAACCAAAUUACUCGUUGCUCGGAUUGGAUAAAUUUGAGAAUAAAAAAAUUUAAAAUAGCAUUAGUAAUACUUUUGAAAAUAGAAUACCUGCUCCUUAAAUAGUAAAAAUAAAAUACAUGUUCCUUGCCUUAGUAGAUCAAAAUGUAGUCCAAAUACUUUUGUAAUAAAUAGGAUAUGUGUGGUAUGAUGGAUAAGGAAAAUUAAUUGUGGGAUAAAUUUUUAGUACCUUUAAUGUUUUGAUUUGUUAGACAACUUCUAUCAGAAUUUAUAAUUAGAUAGCGAUAAGUUAUUCAUGUCUUUGGGUGGAGGAAUAAUUUUAGGAUAAAAUAAUAAAAAUACGUCCCUCAAAACCUUUUUAUACAUCACUAAUAUAACAAAGCUAAAUAAAGUGGAAACUAUUUUCGUAAACAAAUAAUUUAUUUUUAAAAUUUAUGCAAUGCAUGUUAUUUUAAUCACCUAAAUUCAGUAAUUCACAACCUAUUUAUCAUAUCCUCUAAAAUUUUCUAUCAUUUGAAAUUACUAAAAGUCCCUAUUUUCCUCCUCUCUCUCUCUUCUAUUUUUGGAUACAUCACUCUUACAAUAUGUAUCGGGAUAUGAUGUAUUGGGACAAGUGUGUUUUGUAUCAAUAAAGAUAAUGUAUCGAGACGCGAUCUAUCGAGACGUUAUGUGAUGUAUUCAUAAUCCUUAAAUUUCAAGAGAUUGUAAUUCGGAAAAAAAAAUAAGAAUAAGAUGUUAUUAGCUUUUAACAUUAUGAGAUUUGUGUAAUUUUUACUUUUAUUAAUACAAUAAAGCAAACAAUUAAUCAAAGAUUAUAUUCAAAUAGUUAAUCUGCAUAUAACUAAUUUCAAUAUAAUUAAUUUCAUAACUUUUCUUCAAACUAGACACCCCACGGAAUAAUAUUUUUUUCGUUGUGUUAAAUAAUUGUUGGUAUUUUCUCAUCUACUUCUACCUGGCUAAUGCAUGGCCAUAGUAAAAUUGAAGGCUCUUCAUUAAUAAAGGUAACCUCUUUUAAAAAGUCUACUCAGCAAUGAAUAGACAAAGCUAAAAAGGCAAAAAGAAAAAGAAAAGAAAAGAAGAACCAAAAGUCAAUGGCAAUAACACUUUUUACCAAGUUAAUUUAAAGGGAAAAAGGAUAAAUAUACUCUUGAACUAUCGUAAAUGGUAUGCAAAUAUUCUCCGUCAUACUUUUGGGACAUUGGUGUCCCUGUCAUCCAAAAACUAGAGCAUAUAUACUCUUAUACUAACGGACAUACACGUGUCAUAAUCUUAUUCAUCGAUCCAACAUUUAUUGACGGAUAAGAUUGUGCCACGUGUCCCUAUUUAGUCUUCCGUUAGUGUGAAGGGCAUAUAUGCUCUAGUUUUUGGACAACAAGGGCACCAAUGUCCCAAAAAUAUGCCAGAGGGUAUUUGUAUACCAUUUACGAUAAUUAGGGGAUAUAUUUCUCUUUUUUCCCUUUAAAUUAACUUGGUAAAAAGUGUUAUUGCCAUUGACUUUUGGUUCUUCUUUAUUAGGAGACAUUGAAAUAAGGGGUUGGUUUUCCUAGAGAAGCAUACAUUACAUUAAAAAAAAAAAGAUUUUAGUAGCAAUUAAUUAACGGGAAUAACUCAAUUAUCGCUAAAUAUAUAUUUUUAGCGGCAAUUAGUACUCUUUGUAUAUGUUCCUAAAGCCUUUAGCGACAUUGUAUCUAAUGACAUUUAACUAAUGUCGAUAAAGACUUAACAUUUUUUAUUAAUGUGUGUUUAUUAUCGCUAAAAGUUAUUUUUGUUGUAGUGGUAUAAAAUAGGAAGCAAAACACUUUGAUUGUAAUUGGAAUUUAACUUUAUUUAUUUAUUUUAUUCUUUCUGACAUGCAUAUAUAUUCAAGUUCAAAAUUAAACGGUGGAGGCUCUUUUUUUAUAUUAUAAUGAAUACACUUUUGAUUUAACAUAACAAUAUAUAUAAUUCAAUUUGACUUUUUUGACAAAAUCCAAGAAGAAAUUUAGGAAAUAUUAAGUGUCAUGUUUUUCAAUCUAUAGAACUACAGACACCUAAACCUGACCCACUAUUCCUAUUCGCACUGUUUGGUAUAAAUUAAUUUUAGUUUUUUUUUAAUCGGGAAAAUGGGAAGGAGAUUAAAAGACAUGAAAUCGACUUAUGAAAAUUAAAAUAAGUCAAUUAAGAUACUAAGAUUUUUUUUCUAUAUUAUUGGUUAUUUGUUAAAAUUUAUUUGUAAAAUCAUUGAAACUUUAACUUUUGAUUAUUUUCUUAGUAGUAAAAUUAUAAAUUGAACAUACAUGAGAUGUCACUCUACAGAUCCAUAAAAUUUACGCAUUGUACCGUGCCUUAAGACUUAUGUCUCACCUGUGCUACAUAAAACGUCACACCUUAUAUACCGCCCCACCUUUUAAAACACGGUUGGUACCUUAUGCAAGUGUAAUUUAUAGAUCACUCACACAUAUUGGGGUAGAAUUAAAAAGUCAUGGAAUCAUCUGCACCGAUUAUGUAUUCAUACACUAUAUUUUUUUUAUUUCGUCAUGUUUCAUAUGCAUAUGUGUAUACAUAGUGAAUUAUUUAUAUACGCAAAAUUUAUAAUCACCGUAUUUCAUAUGCAUACGUAUAAGCAUAGUGAAUUACUUAUAUACGCAAUUUUAUAUAUAUAUAUAUAUAGGGCUUUCAUCAAUUAAUAGAGUAAUUAAUUUUUCUUCAAAGCUCAUAUCAAGAGCAUGAACUCGUGUACAUUGACAAAUCUACCUUAGGGCUUAGGCUAAGGGUGGUUACGUGACUCCGUUCAUUGAAAUUUUCUUACUACUACUUAAGUCUACUUUUAAUUGUCAUAAUUUCCUUAUUUAUAAUCAAACGAUAAUAACUAUGUACCCGAGGAGACUCAAACUAGAAUCUUUGAUUAAAAAUGAAGAAGUACUUUGACUAAUAUUUUACGAUGUAUUUUUUUCAUGAGAUGCAAAAAAUUGGAAUUUAUAGUAUUUUUUGUAUAGUUUCUGAAUAUCUAUUUUUAUUUAAAAAAAUAUCAAAUUGAUGUAAUUUAAUUUAACUUUGAAAAUUAGUCAAAUUGACUUUCAAAAGCGCAACAUGACAAUUAAAAGUGGACAGAUGGAGUAAAAUGUACAAUAUGCAAAAAAAAAAAAAGGUAGUAAAUUAUAUAAAAUCAUAACACGUUAUCAAUCUGCGCUAUUGUUAUAUUUUUAUGUAUAAAUAGAAGAUGUUGAACUCUUUUCGAUUAUUUUAUAUAUUUACUUAUUCAUAUAUUUUGAACUUUCUUAGUGAAAAUUGGAACUCCGCAUAGUAAUGUGGUUAAAGAGGUGAAUUGAAGGUUGCGAUUAGGCUUUUGACUUUGCAAACAAUAAUUGAGGAGAAAGAAGAAAAUUGAAGGGGAAAAAAAGGUGGAAAAUAUAGUAAGAAGGUGGUGGGCGUGACAGUGAACAGAACAAAAUAUAAGAGGUAACAAGAAAAAUGCCUUUUAUCUAAACUUAAAAGAAGAGGCAUGCUUUGCCUUUCAUCAUCAUUCAUGAAAAUUGAUAAGACAUUUAUGUUUAAAACCGGCAAAAAAUUAAUAAAAUAAUGUCUUUUUUAAAAUUUAUUUUGGAUAUGUUUGUUUUUUCCCUGUUGAAACUAUGUUAUACAUGUUUGGCCAUCUAAAGUAAAUUACCAAGGAUUCCUUAGUAAAAUGAUUACUAUAGUAUAUUUUAUAACAUAGGAAAGCGAAUAAUUCAAAGUGGAUUAUUCUUAAAUACCAUACACAAAGUGGAUACCAUUCUAUGUUUGUGGCGAUGAUACAAAUUUUAUGUGAUGCGAAUCAGAAUUUAAUGUAAGUUGUGAUUUUUAUCAUAAUGAUGAAUUUGAGAUUAUGAUUUGAUUAAGUUGAAGUGUUGAACUAUCGAUAUAUGUAAUGUACUUUACUCGUUUAUAGUUAAUCAUGUUUUACCACAUGCAACUUGCCUCUUGCAAUAUUCUUACAGUAGACAAAGAUAAUUACUUCAACCUAAGUACUAGGAGUAUUAUUAGUAUUAAAUUGGCUGAUAAACCUGACAUUUAGAGACAUUUCAGCAUUUUGAGACAAACUCGUGACCAACCUAAUCAUUUUUAGUUACGACUUACGAGGAUCGAAAUAAAAUAUAGAGCACAACUAGCUUGUUUCUCCUUAUUUUUGAAAUUACACUAAGUAUAUUUGUAAUAGUUAUUUUUGUUGAAGAAGAAGGAAGCUGACGAUUGGAACAUAUCAAAGAACAAGUCCAACGAAGCUGACUGACGUGUCUGCAGCAAGUGUUGAUGAAGAAGCAAGCUGACGAUUGGAACAUGUCAAAGGAACAGGUUCAACGAAGCUGACUGACGAGUUUACAACACUGCUCUAGAAUUAGAGUCGCACUAGGAUUAGACUACUUAUAUUAAUUAGGAUUAUAUUACGACUAGAAUUAUAUUAUGAUUAGGAUUGUAUUACGACUAGAAUUAUAUUAUGAUUAGGAUUAUAUUACGACUAUAAUUAUAUUAUGAUUAGGAUUAUAUUACGACUAGAAUUAUAUUAUGAUUAGGAUUAUAUUACGACUAGAAUUAUAUUAUGAUUAUGAUUAUAUUACGACUAGGAUUAGAUUAUAUAUAAUUGUAUUAUUAUUAUUAUAGUAGUAGUAAUAGGUAUUGUAGUAGGACUCUAAGUAUAACUAUACUUAGAGUCCUACUACAAUACUACUAUAUAGUAAUAAUAAUAAUGCAAAUAUAAAUAAUCUAAUCCUAGUUGUACUAAAAUCAUAAUCAUAAUCUAAUCCUAGUCGUAAUAUUAAUUUCCUUUGACAUGUUCCAAUCGUCAGCUUCCUUCUUCAUCAACACUUGCUGCAGACACGUCAGUCAGCAUCGUUGGACCUGUUCCUUGACAUGUUCCAAUCGUCAGCUUCCUUCUUCUUCAACAAUUAUUAUUAUUAUAGUAGUAAUAGGUAUUGUAGUAAGACUCUAAGUAUAGUUAACUUAGGACUUUACAUUUUUCUACAUGGUAUCAGAGCAUAAAAGCUCUUCCGCUCUCUGAGUAUUGAUCAAAAAAAAGAAAAAAAGAAAACACACGUUGCAAUGGCCCCUUCUACCGAAACCAUGUCAACCUCCCCACUUCACCAAAUCAUUGUCGCUUGCUCCAUUAAACUUAAGCCAACAAACUACACACAAAUAUCCCAAUUGAUUCACGUGAUGAAAACAAACAUAUCUCAUCACAGAGAAUGAACCAAGUAAAAACAGUUGUUCCACUGGACAAACUGCUGGGAAAGUUAUAGAGGUCGAGAAGGAUGCAAAAGAAAGUAACACCAUUGCUGAUUGGAAGGAGAAAUAUGUGUUACUAAGGAGUUGGAUCUCAAGCACCUUGACCGAAAAAAGCAUGCACCUAAUUGUGGGCUGCUCAAUUGCCAAGGAGAUGUGGGAAUGCUUGAAAAAAGUUUAUAUUCAAGCAACAAAAGUAAUUUAUUUUGCUAGAGAUUUAGGUCUCAAAUACAAGACGUUUAGGAUAAUCACAUUAGGUAAGACACUAUAUUCCACCCUUAAUCAAUUUAUUUAUGCUCUCACGAGUUUUGAUAUAAGGGAAGAUGAAGAAGAGGUGUCACAACAAAGCCAUCACAUGGUAUUCUCUGCCUUUUUGAGCAGGGGAAGAGGAAACAACAACAUCAACUCCAGAGAAAUAGGUUUCAAGCCUGCUGGACAGGGAACAAGUUCUCAGAACAGUCAAUAUGGACCAGGUUCUCUGAACAAUAAAAGUUCUCAAAGUGAAAAUAAGGAGAGGAAUAAUAUUAAGUCAUGUCAAAUCUGUGGUAGGAAUAAUCAUACUGCUCUUAAGUGUUUUUAUUGGUGGAACUACUCGUAUCAAUCUGCAGAUGAACUAUCACAAGCAACGACUAGCCAUCACAUUUAUACCGAAGCAUUGACAAAACAAUUUUUUGCUGGGUAUUCAAAGUUUUUUUUUUGCUGCGUAUUCGAAUCAAGCUAGGAGUAACCGUUCCUCUAUUCACUAGCUUGAGGGGAAGUGUUGAAGAAGAAGGAAGUUGACGAUGGGAACAUGUCAAAGGAACAAAUCCAACGAAACUAACUGACGUGUCUGCAGCAAGUGUUGAUGAAGAAGGAAGCUGACGAUUGGAACAUGUCAAAGGAACAGGUCCAUCGAAGCUGAUUGACGAGUUUACAGCACUGCUCUAGAAUUAGAGUCGCACUAGAAUUAGACUACUUAUAUUAAUUAGGAUUAUAUUACGACUAGAAUUAUAUUAUGAUUAGGAUUAUAUUACGACUAGAAUUAUAUUAUGAUUAGGAUUAUAUUACGACUAGAAUUAUAUUAUGAUUAGGAUUAUAUUACGACUAGAAUUAUAUUAUGAUUAGGAUUAUAUUACGACUAGAAUUAUAUUAUGAUUAGGAUUAUAUUACGACUAGAAUUAUAUUAUGAUUAGGAUUAUAUUACGACUAGGAUUAGAUUAUUUAUAAUUGCAUUAUUAUUAUUUUUAUAGUAGUAAUAGGUAUUGUAGUAGGACUCUAAGUAUAGUUAACUUAGGAUGUUACAAUUUUCUCCCUAUAUAAGGAGGUUGUAACUCAACAUUAUUUUCAUCAAUAUAAUCCUUGAUUUCUCCCUAUAUGUCGGUGAAUUAAUUGUAACAAAGAAUGAUUAGAGUUCAUAUAAAGAUGGCAAAUAUGAUAAAUUCAACUUGCUAUUAUAAUUUCAAUAUGUAGUUUCUUUCACCAUCAUGAUGUACAAUGCAUCCAUUAAUUAUUAUGAUUUAUGACAAUUAUAAUGAAAUAAAUUACACAUACACUUAACUAUAAAGUUUAUUUACCAAAUUAUGAAGAUUUAUUAUAUGAAAAUAGAUAAUAGUUGUCCUUGGUAGCUGGCUAGCACUUUCCAGGUUUCUGUCAAUUUUGUCAUCUGCGCAACAAUACCACACAAACAAGUCUAAAGUAAAAUUUCCAAAAUUAAGUGGAGACAUUGUAUAUUUAGGUCAACAAAAAAAUAAAUACAAUUAAUAAUUAGAAAAAUUUACGUAAAUCUCACUAGUUUAAGAGCUAAUUACUCAUAUACACUCUACUUUUGCAAUAGUAUUACGUAUCUUAAUAGAUUUUGGUACAUUUAGAUACAUCCAUAUACAUGUAUUUUAGAAUACAUGAGAUAAAAAUCAUUUAUAAUUUAUUUUAGAUAUAUUGUAUCCAAGUGAAUUCGCUUGUAUAUGAGAUUAUAUUGUCUACUUUUGAGUUUUACCUUAUAUAUAUUCUUUGUCUUUUCCUGUUUAGCCAUUUUGCUGAAUCAGCAAAAUUGUCUACAAGAUUAAAUUCACAUACUUUUACUUCUCUUUCAACUACUUGUUGAUCUCUAUCUAAUCGCUUCGUUCUUUUUUGCGUGUAUCUAACAUUUUCUUAGUCCAUUUUCACUCCCCUUGUAUGUUUGAUUGGCACAGUACACUUUUAAAAUUAAUAGAUAGAAUGAUAAUUUAACUACAAUGUGCACUUUUUCGUCAUUAUUUUCAGAAUGAAUCGUUGUUCACAUCAAUUGUCAGUUUGCACAUAAGUUUUUCAAUGUCCAACUACAAAAGCUGCUAUUUAGAAUUCCCCAUCAAAAAACUGGUGCACUGAUUAUCUCAUCAUAUGCUCAAAAAGAACCUCCAAGAUUUGCUCUUCCUAUGGAAGGAACUAAGAAACGAAAAUUGGGACCAUCCACUCCGACGAAUCAAAAGUAAUAAGCACUCCACAAUUUAAUAUAGCAUAAUCUCUAACUUAUUUAUUCCUUUACAAUAUACAACUUCGCCAUAUAGGUAUAAGUAAAAAAGGGUUGAGUACAACGAAGAAAAAUCACGUGAUUUGUCAUGUAUAGCUGAAUUUUGAUUGCCUAUACCAUCAUCAAAGAAUGAGCUACCUCAACUAGUGGCGGCUCAACCUAAUUAGUGGCCUAAAGCCAAAUAUAAAUCGGAGGACUAGUUUUUUUUUUUUUUUUUUUGAAAUCCAAAUUAUUUUAUUUUUUUAAUGAAAAUGCUUUAUUUUUUCUAUGGUCUUAUACUAUAUAUAUAUCAAAAUAUUUUAUAAUCUUGUGAUCUUAAACAUGUCAUGUAGAAGUUAAAUUUAAAAAUUGACCAAAAAAAAAACAUUCUUUAAUGUUUCAAAACAAACUAAAAGAAACACAAAAUAUUAUUUAUUUUUUUGUUAAAAAAUAAAUAUAAUAAUUCUAUUAUUACUAAAAAAAUGAGGCCCUCAAAUUUUUGGACCUAAGACGGAUGCCUCAGUUCUAAAGGUAUCGAGCCGCCCCUAACCUCAACAAAGUUUCUCCUUUUUGAGCGCAUAUUAACAACCUACAUCAACUACUAGUUAUUUUAUAAUUUUUGUGAACAUAACGGUAAAAGUGCGGUGGCCACUACUUUGCCUGCUCAAAAUGUUUGCUCCAACUAAGCGUGCAUAUACUAAGGGGUCGUUUGGUGUGAGGGAUAAUACCAAAUAGUCCUGGGAUUAAAUUAUAGUACCGCUUAUUUUGUUGUUUGGUUGGCAAGUUCGGGAUAACUUAUCCCGGGAUUAAUAAUUAGUACCGGGAUAAGUUAUCCCUAACCUAGGGUGGUAUAGUAAUCCCGGGAUAACUUAUCCCGGGAUAAAUAGGUAAAUGACAAAAAUGUCUCUUUCAACCCUUUUGUUAUAUCACUUUUUACAUUAAUGAAGGGCAUUUUUGUAAACAAAUAAAUUGUUCUUAAAAUUUAUUAUUUUGAAUACAACAAACCAAACACUCAAUAAAAAAUAAUCCCAACACAACUUAUCCCAUCAUAACUAAUCCCAACAUAACUUAUCCCAACAUAACUUAUCCCAUCAUAACUCAUUUUCAAACCAAACGACCCCUAAGUGUAUAUAUAUAUAUAUACACACCCCUUCCCUUCGGCCCGUGCUGACAUGGGAUUCUCUUCUAGUUACCAUCACUAUUCACCAACAGUUAACAUCUAAAUAUCUUCAGAGAAAAAAUUGUCGAAUAUGAGACCAAGUAAUAUUAUAACAAGCUCAAAACAGAGCCUUGACAAUGUGCGCCUUACAUCAGGAUCGGAAUAUCUAACCUACCAAAACAAAACCUCAUGGCCCCUGACGAACAUAUCUAAUAACCAAUCAAUAAUACAAGGAAGCAGCAAAUACAUCCUCAAACAACAAAGACAAAAAGUCCAAAUAGAGAAAAUUUAAGGACUAGGAAUAUGGAAAGGUGCAACAGUGAAACUGAUCUGCUCUGAGCUAUGCCAUCUAUUCAAAUGCUUCAUCAUCGUCAUCUGGAAGUGGCUGAUUAAGGGCUUGUUGAAGCUCCUGUUCAUGCCUGAAUAAACAGUGUGGUUAAAAUUAAAAAUCGUACAACGAAAAAACAAAAUGUUAAGCACAAGGAGCCUAGCACAUCACAGAGCCAAGCGCUAUAGGGUCGAUUUGCAUGAUCUAAACCUAACAGGAACCUAAUACUUGUUGGUAUUCUUUAAGAUACGAGGGUUGCUCAUGAUCAAAAUCAUCAGUUCUAACUCUGAUAUACAUAUUAAGAUGCAAUGAACAUUGUCCAACUCUGUUAUACAUAUAAAACAGUGAAUAUCUGAUAUUUUCACAGACUUGCUAACAGUUAUCAAUUCUAUGGAAUACACAUAUAAAACUCUUACAAUGCCUGUGCAGCUAAGUCAAUUUGUACUUCUGGGGGAGCAAGUGCAGGUGAUUCCACAAAGUGAAGAUUACCAUCCCUACAAGUAGAACAAGAAAUUAGGUUCACAUCAACAGUACAUAUGAAUAGAACAGACAAGAUAUAGAUUUAUAUUUAUGAACAUUAAUUACCCAGCAAGCUUUCUAGCAAGGUACAGAAAAGGCUUCUCAAAGUUGUAGUUACUCUUUGCUGAGAUCUCAUAGUAUUGCAAAUUUUUCUUCCUGUGGAAGGUAACUUGCUUUGCCUUAACCUGCCUGUUCUUCACAUCAACUUUGUUUCCACAGAGAACAAUGGGGAUGUUUUCACAAACCCUGGAAGAAGCAAUUGAAUAGCAUUUCAGAUUUCAAUUGCAUAUCAUCAAUUAUAAGUAAGAGUAUAAUGCUGGCAGCCUAUGAAGAGUUCCUCACCGGCAAAGAUCUCUAUGCCAAGUAGGAACAUUCUUGUAGGUCAGACGGGCUGUAACAUCGAACAUGAUAAUUGCACAUUGCCCAUGAAUGCUGGACAAUUGACAUAGAGAAAUAUGAGAAUCAAAAAUACAGUCACCAAAAGCUUCAAGCAAGACAAUUAAUGUCAAGGCAGUCAUACAAGUAACAAAUGUUUGAUGUAAAAAAGGAAUAGCAGGGUAAAUAUGGUAUUCUGAGCUCAAAAGAGACGCGGAUGUGAGCACAAUUACUGUCACCUCAGAUAUGAUUAACCACAUUGUAGAAAUACCUAUAGUGGCAUUUGAUGUAGAACACCACACGUUAUCAAUUAUUCUUCACAAACAAACCAGCAUUCCUUAAUUCCAAUAUUUCAGCUUUUGGGAAACAUGAAACUUCACCCAUUUAACUUGACAGUAAAAGUUUUAAUCAUAAAAUAACAUCUAUCGAGCAGCAGAGCCUUGCAUAAACUAAAGGUUUUAACUGCCUACAAUCACUUACUAGUAACCAUCUCUGAGACCUCCAAACUUCUCUUGUCCGGCUGUAUCCCAGCAAUAAAAGCGAAUUUUCCCACAAUUUGUGAAGAAGUCUAGUGGAUGAACCUCCACACCAAUAGUGGCUGUAUGAAAACAAAACUUAAUAAAUAAUUUACUCACGAGAAACCAACAUAACAAGAAACAGAGCGAGAGCCUAUUGAAAAGGAUAACGACCCAGAUUAUCAGAAGACUCUAUCUGUCAGUACAGGAAAUAAAAAACUUACGUUCGUAUUUUUUCUCAAAUUCACCAGUGAGAUGCCUUUUGACAAAAGUCGUCUUCCCUGGAAAUCCAAUUACAACAGGAACCAUUAGGGUACUCUAACAAAAGGAAGCAAGCCACUAAUCUCAAUGAAACAUUCACUUCAAUUUACAAAGAUCAGAUUAUCUACGAUAAAUAGCAUUUAUCCCAUAAAUUCAGUGUAUACUCAUACAUUAUCAAUUAACUAUAUUGAAAUAACUUCCAUAUUUAAAAACUAUUCUGAAUCAAAAUUUCACACAAGUCAGUAAUGUUUUUCAAAUGUUUGAAGAAAUCAAAACAAAAUAUCUGUUUGACAUCAAAAUAUUGUUACUGAUAUUCUCUUCGAAACAAACGAUACUAGAAACAAAUCUCAGAUAAACAUAGAAACAUACCAGUUCCUCCAUCCCCCACAAUAACAAGCUUGAAGCUUGGAUAAUCUACAGUUUGUUGGUUUGGUAAAGCCUGUAAUAAUAAAUUCACAAACAUCAACACAAGAAAUCAGCCAAAACAGUUACAAUUCAACACUGGUCACAUAUCAAACUUCAUAAACACAUCACAAUCAAAGUUAAAAAUCAACUUCCUAGAAGAACAAAAAGGAGCAAUUGGACAACAAAAAAAUCAACAAAGUGUAUAAGCACCUCAAACUGAAACCUGUGGGGGAUUUUGAUGUCUCAAAAAAGAAGAUAAAACAGAUUGAAGACACAGAAGAUGGCGUACAUACAUCUUUAAAGCUUUACGUCUUGGUCAUAUUUGCUAUUUAUAAAAAAAUUCUUUCUUAUAGAAAGAAUGAAUAAUUUCUAAAUUAAUUAUUCGUAUGUAGAUUUUCAACAAUCAAUUUAUGUUUGUGAACUCCCAUCUUAGAGAAUGAAUCAUUUAACUCUAGUAUAUACCAUCUAAGUUCUCCACAGGCUAUCUCUCAAAAGAAAGAAUAUUUUAACAGCCCUAUUUUAUAAUUUCAAAUGUUUUAAGCCAAAUCCCACCACACGUAUCCAUACCUCAAUCCAUAUGGAUACAAAUCCAACACCCAGAUACGCAUCCAAAGCUUAUACACACAUCUAUCUCAAACUAUUCAGGGUCGAUUAGACACCUUAGAUCAGUUAUCAUUCCAAAUACAACAAAAAAUAACUCACUACAUCUUCAAAAACUCAUCCAACCAAAGCUAAAACCAACUUCUAAAACAAAGAAAAGGAACAACUUGACCAAACAAAGCCUAUAAACACCUCAAUCUCAUCAUCCCAAUACUGAUACACAAUUUGCAGCUAUAAAAGUUCUCCUGUACAUAACAACACUUCCCAUUCCAAUUAUGAUAAUCUACCAGCCGAGAAGAAUAAACUCAUCUAAAUCCUCAAAUACUCAUCCAAAUCAAAGUUAAUACAAAAAAAUAAAUCCAGCGAAUCGUAUAAACAUCUCAAUAAUCAUCUAAUUAUCAUUCCAAUUCUCGAAAAAAAAUCAACUAAUUAUAUGAAAAAUAAACGAGAUUUACUCACCAUUGUCGAAAGUAUGAGAAGAAAAUUCCUUCAAGAGAGAGAGCGGCAGAGCUUUUUUGUGUGUGUGAGGAAUGAAAAGCGAAACGGAAGUAGGGUUUAUAAAUUGGGGAAUUCGCUUAAACUUAACGCCAGUCUUUUUUUUUAUAUUCUAUUUUUGAAUUUCAAAUUUUUGUGUGUGUGUUAGAAACAUAAUAAACUAAUGUUUUUUAAAAAAAUAAAUAAAUAAAUUCUUUAUGUUUGUUUUUAACUUUUGUAAGUUUUAAGCUAAUAUAUUUUGUAAUUGGGUCCACUAGGAAUGUAUUAUUGCGUUUAGUCACCCUUGUUGUAUUACAAAUUACACAAAACUUUGACCGUUUGGCAGAGUAAUAGCGGAUUUAGGAUUUUCAUUCGGGAGUUUGAAACAUAUAUAUGAAGUAAAAGCACAAAAAUUAUGAGAUAACUAAAAACGUGGGGCGGUGAAUGGCAAUACUCAUUUUAAUCCACUUAAUUUUAACUCACAUUGUCAUGUCCCGUUUAACAUUUAUUACUAUUUCGAGUCCUUUCUAAAAUUUAUUGUGCUUUUUUUGCCUUCCCCUUCCUCUUUGCAGUGUUCAAUUUUUUCUUUCGAAUUAAUAUCCUUUCAAUCAUAUGUUAUCUUUAAAAUAAUAUUUUUCUUCAAAAAUAAUUUUGGAAUCUUGGUCAAGCUCAAGCACCGACAAAACUCUAAUAUUAAUAAAAAAAAUCAAAUUAAUUAAUCAAACACAAAUUAUUAAUAUACAAAAAGUACUUUAAUAAAAAAAAUUCAUAAUAACAAAUUUUAGAAGUUUAAUCAAUCACGCUAUUGAUUUUUUUAUUUUAGCUUUUAACAUAUUUACAGUAGUACCUAUUCUUAUUCCAUAUUUAUAAUAUAUAGAAUUUUACAUAUAAUUUAUGCAAAUAUUAUUUAUGGAAAAAAUAAAAGAAACUAUCGAGCGUUAGAAGCUAUCACGAUCGAAGACAUAACUUUGAACCCGUAGACCACUAAAUUAAGCUUCUCAAUUGUACUGAGGGGGUUCAUUUCUUUGUAUAUAACCAUACAUAUCGAAUUUGACCUUAUAAAUACAAUGUAAUUUUUUCGACGAGGGGAUUUGGAUGGACCCCUACUGCCCACGUAGAUCCGUCCCUGUGGUAGAGUAUCUAAGAAUAAUGCAAAAUAUAAUGUAUUAGUAAUACUUGUAUUGUUAUACUUGCAUUAGUUAUGCUGAGAUUUUUCUUAUGCAAUGUUUGGUUUGGUGUACUAAAAAUAUUAAGCAUUGCAUAAUUUUUUAAAGAAAUGUUUUUUUUAAAAAAAAAUAUUGGAAUGGAUGUGAAAAAAAUUUGAGGGACAAUUGUAUCUUUAACAUUGCUAAUGCAUGCAUUAGAAUUCAUUGCAAUACUAAUGCAUAGAAACCCAUGAUAUUAGUAAUUUACUCUUCAAUAUACAAUAACUAAUACAAGCAUUAGUUAUGCAUAAAUUAGAAAAGCGAACUAAACAAAGUACUAGUAACACAAUAAAGUGGGAAAGAUUAUUAUUUGUAAAUUCAAUUAGUUUUACUUAUUAAACUAACUAAUUGAAUGCCUGAUGUAAAAAGUGGCCUUUUGGCUUCCAUUUUAGUUUCUAGCUAGGUUGAUGUUUUUGUUGCAUCUUAAAUUUCGAUUCCAACAUAUAAAAUUGAGCGAGAAAUGUUUAUUUUGAGUUUUUAUUAGGGGAUAUUUUCGCCAAUCUUAAUUUUAUAAAUUGUCAGCUUUUUGUCUUUUCAAACGAAGUCAGACAUUUUUCUUAUUUUUAAGUGGCAAAAAUUGUAUAACGUUUUCAAAAACGUUUUUUUGGGCGAGUCCUGAGGAAGUUUUGAGGUGGGGCAUACUAAAACGCUCUGGGGUGCAAAUUAAAAACGUACAUUCAUAGGGCAUGAGACGUGAGUCCUAGAAUUUGGGGUGUAAGCUCCUAGCGUAAAACAUAAACCUUGGGCGUAAAAAUCGUACACCUCGGGCCUUUUUUUAAAAAUUAUUAUUAUUUUUGAACUUUUUUUUUUUAUUGAAAUCAUAUUUUUUUAUUUGUGUAAUGAUAUUUCUCAAAUAGUAAUUGUAAUAGUACUUUUUUCUUCAUUAUUGGUUAUUAAUACAUUUCUCAAAUAAAAAUCAUAAUAUUUUUUUUCUAUAUAUUAUAGCCUUAUAGGUUAUUAAUUUAAAUUUAUUUAUAGUAAUUGAAAGUUUAAACUUUUGCUUGUUUUCUUAGUAAUAAAAUUAUAAAAAAGAAUAUACACGAGACCACGUCCGUAGAUUCAUAAAACUUAUGUCUCAUGUCUCGAAGCUUACGUCUCGCUCCAAACUAUAUAAAACAUCUCGCCUCACACCCCAGCCUUCUAAAACACUACUCCAACCCUUUUAGCUUGAUCUAGGCCCAAUACACCGUCCAGUAUUCCAGUUUAAGAAGCUAAGCCCGCUAUGGACAGUUAUGGGCCCAUAAUUGUCAAGAAAAUUACACCGUCAACUCCUUUUAGAAAUAUUCAUUUUUAAAAUAUAUAUUUCAUAUAUUAUUAAUAUUUAAAUAAAAAAAUAUUAUAUGAUAAUUUGGAAUCUAAAUUAAUUUUAAGACUUUAUUUAGGAUUCUUAUUUGGCAUACAAAAAAUAAAAAAAGAUACUUUUAUUGCUUUCUUUGUCCUCACUAUUUUCACCUCGUUCUCUGUCAACAUCAUUGAAGCAAUUUGAGACAAUCAUCAACAGUAACUCUUUACUCAUUUUUUUCAAAAAAAUUUAUACUAAUUAACCUCAUCAGAAAACAAUCCAUAACUUAUUAAAUAUUCUUCGCAUUAUAAAAAAGUGCUUGGAUAGAUGCUUUAGACUGACUAUGUUUUAUCUUUUUAGUUCAUUCCAGCAACAACACAAAUUAAUUGAAAACAAACUUUGAUCAAAUACCAUCAUAUGUACUCAGGGGCGGACCCACAUUGGACAUUUCGGGUGCGCGAGCACCCAUUAAUUUCGUAUCAAACUAUGUAUAUUUAUAUAAAAAAUUGAAAGAAUGUGAGCACCGACUACACAGGUAGUCGUUUGAUUCAAUGGUUAUUUCUGGGUUUUUAAGGAUGUGUAUUGCAUCCGCGUUUGGGUUCGAUUCCCACUCUAAGCAUUUUUUUAAAAGUAUUUUGAAGACCAACUCUUCUAUUCUUAUUUAUUUCAUUUAGAACUUUUAUUUUUCACACCUUGUGUUGAUUGUUCUUUUUACUCUUUCUCUGUUUCCCUUUUGCUAUUUUUUUUUAUUAAAAAAAACGUUAUAAAAAAUAAUAUUUAUUGUAGUUUUAUCAUAUUAAUAUUUUUUGCUAUUGUGGCACUACAAAAAAACACCUAAAUCGUGGGGGUUUCAAAGUGGAGGUUAGCUGCAACCCCCACAAACUACAUUAAAUAACGAGGGUUUGGUAGCUGACGCAAAAUAAAAGUAAACAUCAGGGAUUUAAAAUCCCCAGAAAAAAAUUUAAGUAAAUACCGGGGGUUUAAACACCUGCUAUCUCAUAAUACAAUUUUUAUUUCAAAAUAUAAAAUAUAUAUUUUUAAUUCAUGAAAUAAAAAACACUCAUAGCUUUUGGAAAUACGUAAUUUAAUAAAUAGCUAUUUUUAAUUUAAUAACAAAAUACAAAAUAAACACAACUUUUGAAACUUCACUCCUUCCAAAUUACUCUCUCACUGUCACACUUCUCUCACCGCCACACUUCUCUACAGCGGCACUUCUCUGCCGUCUACAGCGGCACGUCUCCUCACAACUCUGUAAACUUCAGCUACUCACCAGAUUCAAAAUGGGAUAGGUGUUCUAAGGUAAUGUUUUCCACUUCUCACCUCUUUGAAUAAUGAACCUACCUCACAUUUUUGGAUUUUCUCAUCUGAAUCUUCACAAAUUGUACAAAUUACUGGUUGUAUUUACUAGAUAAGUUUAUUUUUUGGUUGUUUGUAUAGAUGCAUGGAGGUAGAAUUAGGUUAAUUUUGUUGUAUUCUUCAUGGAUGAAAAUUUUGAAAUAUCAAAUUUGAGCAUGUAUUUUGUGGUAGAAUUAGGUUUAUUUUGUUAUAAUUUUGGUGAUUCUACAGAUUCUUCGAGACAUUCUGUGUCUACAGAUUUUUUGGGACCACUUUGUCUCAAAUGGUGUCGCUAACAGGUGCCUUGUUUCUUCGUAAAAUUUGGAGUUGUCGUCUCCGUCGAUCCUUGUUUAAGCUGGAGUAAGGUGUAUAUAGUUUCCCUUUUUGUUUGUUAAUUAAUUCUUCUUUAGCUGUUACAUGUGCCCUCAAUCUUCACUUAUCUCUGUAUACUUGUAUUCAUACAUUAUAUUCUUAUUGAUUUGUAUCUUCAUUUUUUUCUUCUAAAUCACUAAUUUAUCAUUCUUCUAAAUUUGCAUGUCUUUGCUUAUUUGUUGUAUCUCUUCAAUCCAAUUGACUAUAUUCCAAGGUAGUUUGCAUUUAUCCACAAGUAUUCUUUGUAAAUAUAUUGAAUAUGGUUGGAUCAUGAUAUGAUCCAAAUGUUUGUUAUUACAAUGCUUGAUAGCUUCUAGGAUAGCCAGUGUCUCAGAUUAUUUUGGCCCUUACCAUAUCUGUAAUUCUGGCCAGGAGAAAGCAUAUCUAAAAGGUCAUAAACAGACUUCCUCUGUAGAAAAACAUCCCAUUUUGGACCAAAGUGUGUCCUACAUUGUUCCUGUAUUGUUUUAUAUAAACAAAUGUAUAAUCUUAUAGAAAAUGUUCCUUUGUUUAAUUUAUCAGGUCCGAUCCCUCUCCAAUAUUUGGAACUGAAAUUAACGAGAGAGCUUCUAGAUCUUCAAGGAUAAAGAAAGUUGAGGUACUCUUUCAUUUGCUUAGAUCACUAUAAUUUCUCAGUGGUUAGGCCUCUAGGGAAAUAGUUGAGGCCUCAAGUUCAUCUGAUGCUUAUGCUUAAAGUCAACUACAGUAGUAAUAAAUAGAGAUAAAUAGACAUUUGCUCUCAGAUACUGAAUGUUCUUGUUUAAUUUAUCAGGUCUGGCCCCUUUUCAAUAUUUGCUUUAUCUGGAACUGGAAUUAACGGGAGAGCUUCUAGAUCUUCAGGGAUAAAGAAAGUUGAGGUACUCUUUCCAUUUCUGCAUAUAAUGUUACAUAAAAAUUGUUAAAUAUGUCUGUAAUCUUAUAAUUUUCUCAUGAAAAUCUUAUAGGUGAUAUUGUCUGCUAAUCUUGUUUUUUUUUAUGGAUAAAUCUUGGAUUAGAAUGCCAAGGACCACAAAAGAAUAUUUGGUUGGCUUGAAUCAGUUCCUAGAAUUUGCAUUUAAAAAUGGAGCUAUAGAAGAUAGAAUAAAAUGUCCGUGUCCUCAAUGUUGUUUUGGCAAAUGGAAGACUAGAGAUAUAGUGUUUGAACAUUUGACUUGCAAGCCAUUUGAUCGCGUCUUUGAUCAAAUCAUAGUGGUAUAAACUCUAUAUUCUGACUACUAUACCUAUAUUCUUUUCUUGGACUUUUAUAUUUGGAUUUAAUAGAUAAGCUAACUAGUGUUUAUUCUUGAAGCCUUGAUUUUUUUCCGAGACAACCGACGAUAAGCUAACUAGUGCUUAUUCUGGAUCCACUGUGUUUUCUAGUGACAUAUCUAUUGAGAUUAGCUUCUUUAUUUCUGGCAAAGUUUUAUGGGCAAGGCAGCACUCAUGGUCUAGAACAUAUUUUCCAGGAUUGCUUCUGGAGCUUAGAAUGUGGAGUGUUGUUUGGUCUGAAUUAGGAAAAAAGAAUGUGGAAAUAUGAGUAUUUGUCUAUAGAACUUUGUGGAGUGUUGUUUGGUCUGGAUUAAUGCAAGAACAAGAUAAAAACUUGUGAUUCUUUUACUAUUAUGUGCAAUAAAGAAGUAGCAAGGUCCAGAACAUAUUUUUGCAUAUUCUUGUAUGUUAGUAUUGACCUAUUUGUUUAUGAUUGGCAUUUGUAUUGACAUUCAUAGUAGAGAAUUUAGUAUUUGUUUACAUACUGUUAUUGACAUACAAUAUGUAAGUAUUUUUUUUAUAAAUCACCAUAAUGGUUGGAUUAGGUUUCAGUCCUAAUCAUUUUAUUGCAUUCAAAAGAGGUUACAAAAGAAGGGUGAGAGCAUUUAUCAUAUUACUUAUUGUGUAUUUUUCUUUGUAGACAGAUGAUGCUAGUGACAGUAGUCGUAGUGACAAUCGUUGAAGUUCCAUGAAUAGUUGCAGGUCAUUUCUUGAGUAUGGAUGCUAGUGAACCCUUUUCAUCAAUAAAAGCAAGAUUAGCGAAUGACAGUUUUUGUAGUGAUUUGAAGUUUCUUGUAAUCGUAAUGGUUGAAGUGAAUGGUAUGUUUCAAUUUAGUUUGUAAAACUAAUAGUACACUUUAUGAUAUAUUUUUUUGUUGAAAUAUUUUGUUAUUUCUUAAUACUAAUAAGCCCUUUUAGGUUUGACUAUGAUGUACAUGUUAAUUAGUCAUUAAUAUUUAAAAUAGAUUUUUUCUAGCAUAAUGCUCUAGAAGGUUACAUGUUCAUAAAUUACAGGGGUUAGAACUCUAGUUAAUCUUAAUGUAAAAUUCAUGAUUUGUGGGGAUUUUGACUCCCAAAGUUCACAAAUUGCAGGGGUUUUGACUCCUAGAUAUUGAAGUGCAGUUUUAUAGAUAUACAUUUGUGGGUUCAAAACCCCCAGUAAUAAGCCCCCGCUAAUGGUAGCAGGGGUUCGUCCAAAACUCCUGGGACUUAAUUGUGGCACACCUAAUUGCAGGAGUUCUCUCAACUGCCACAACACUAAAUUGUGAGGGUUACUGACUGUCAGAACAUGUAAUUUUAACCCCUGCAAUUUAGGCGUUUUUUUGUAGUGUGGUUUAAUUUAAUUGUCCAUUUAAUGGCAAGUUAUAAAUUUGUUUACUUAUAUUUUGUGACGGUAGUCAAGGGAGCACCCACAAUUUGAAAAUCCUGGAUCCGCCACUGUAUGUACUUGAAUUUAAAUAAUACUUAAAGUCUAUAGUACCAAAAUAUUUGAACGUUAUUUCAAAGAAAUAAACCUUAGAUCCGUAAAACGUGUGUUAAAAACUAGAAAUAAAAAGAAAUAUGAUAAAUUUAACUGGCUAUUAUAAUUUCAAUAUGUAAUUUAUUUGAUCAGUACAAUGCAUCUAUUAAUCAUGACAAUUAAUGAGAUAGAUUGCACAUACAUGUAACUACAAAGUUUAUUUCCCAAACUAUGAAGAUUUAUCAUCAAAAUAGACAAUAAUAGCCCUUGGUAGCUUGCUAGUACACUUUUAGCAUUUUUCAACCCUCAUUACCGUCAAUUUUGCCAUCUGCGUAGCAAUACCACAAAACAAGUCUAAAGUCAAAUUUUCAAUUUAAGUUGCACCGUAAAAAUUAUAUGGAGACAUUGCAACUCUGGUCAACUAAUAAAUUAAUACAAUAUGGAUAAAAAAAACUGACAAUUCCUCUAAAAAUGAAUAUAUACAUCAUAUUCCUAUUCUUUUUCAAAUUAUAAAAAUCCUUUAAAAUUUAAGAAUUUCAGAUAUAUUACUCAAUAUCUCGAUAAAUCGCAUCCUGAUAUAUAUUUUUUGUUGAGACAAGACACACAUAUCCCGAUACAUCGCGUAAAAAUAAUGUAUUCGAGAAUAGGAGAAAGAGUGACAAAAAUAAAAAAAAUUAUAAUUUUUUUCAAAAUAGAGUCAACAGAGUGUAAAUUAGAAAUUAAAAAAAAAUACUGAAUUGAAAUAUGAUCUAUUGUUUAAAUUGAUUUGACUCGAUCUAUCUUUGCCCAUGUAAACCUUGAACAUAAUCAAAUGAGAACUCUUUUGUUGAUUCAAUCCAUUUAACCCGCUCAUUUGUCUCCCUUGGAUUUGUGAUCUUUAUUAGUUUCAACUUUUUUUCAUAGUUCAAUAUAAUAUGUGUGACUUCAGGCCAAAAUAUAGUUUGACCAUGAAAGUCAAACUACCAUAGUUGCAUACUUGCUUGUUUUUUUUAGUUUCCCAUUUGGUGUUCGAAGCCCACAUUAAAAACUCAAUCAAAUUUGAAUCGUGUAAUGCAGGGUCCAUUCUUGUUGAAACAAAGUUAAAGGAGUUUCAUUACAGAAAGAUGAAAUAAGACAAACUAAAAAACAAAGAAAUGGAAAAGGUAAAGAAAAAAGGAAACUUAAUUACCUGGUCCGCACCUAAUGUUGCACUUCCCAUCACAACGAGCGUACUCUCUCGCUGAAAAAAUAACAAAUUAUUACCGCUAAAAUACUACAUAAAGCUGAACUGAAUGCUACGAUUAUAAAAGAAAAAAGAAUAAAUAGGAAAGGGGAGAUCGAAAUGAUGACAUACGUGGGAGACCAACACAAGCAGUAUUGCAAUUGUCCCAGCAAUUGACGCCCUGAGCUGCGACGCCGACGGUGUCGGUGUUGGCCGAUAAAAGGAUGAUAAACACCAUAGCCAUAGCUGCCACUGAAUUCAUUUUCUUGUUUUCCAUUGUUUUCUUAUUAAUCUCUCUAUGCUUUUUAGUGUUAUAGUAUGAAGAUAUAAGCCUUCAAUGGAAAGCUCAUUUAUAUAUUGGUAGUCACUUUUAUUAGUGCCGUAGUGGACAAGUGGGAUACAGGAUAUUGUUAUUUUUUCAUUCCACCAAUUUUGACCGUUUAAGUAAACUUUGACUGAAAUAUAUAACAAACUUUAUUUUAUUUUGACCUAAUAAUACGUGAUCAAUUCCUUAAAUUUAACGGGAUAUUCUAUUUAUACACUUGAAUUAUGAUUGAUUAAGAUGAGUGUGUCCACUAAAGAUAAAAGAUGACAUAUUUUAUUUAGUUAACUUAACUAUCUAAUAUACAAAUGAAAAAAAUUGCAAUUUUUUCUUAAAAACUUGAAUUGAAAUUGUCUAUUUAGUUAAGGAGCUGAGUAUGCAUUAAGCAUUUUAUUUUUAUAUGGACUAGAUUAGAUCUUCUUUUCAGUCGAACUUUUAAAAAAAUUUAGAGAACUAGUUUAAAAUGCUUGAUACUGUAAGGUGAGAAAACAGAAAACUAGUAAUCUUUGUCGUUCCAGAGCCCUUUGAAAUAUUGUUUUUUUAAACGGAUACAAUUUAAAUAAAUUACAAUCAGCGGCGAAGCAAGAAUUGAAAUUAAAUGUUGAAAAAAUAAAUUAAAAAGUUAAGUUCUUGUGUGACUCUCAUAUCACCGAAUUUCUUUUUUUUACUCCAUAGUCAAACUUCGUAAGUUGUAGUUUGACCUUAUUUUUUUAAAAAAAUAAUAUUAUUAUUACUAUAUUUUACAUAAUUGGAGGUUGGAGAAAGAGAUUACUAGAUGUGAAUCGAAAUCUAAUCAACAAACUUUCGUUUAGACAAUCAAAAGCAAGUAAACUAUUACUCCCUCUAUUAUGGUAAAAUAUCAUGAACAAUGUAUUCAUAUAUUGUCUCCAAAGUUAAAAACUUUCUUAAAUGAACUUCCACCCUUAAACAGAUGAAAAUUAGUUACCAUCACUAUUCACAAACAGUUGACAUUUAAGUAUCUUCAGUCAAAAAAUUGUCGGAUAUGUGACCAAGUAAUAUUAUAACAAGCUCAAAACAGAGCCUCGAUAAUGUGCCCCUUACAUCAAGGUCGGCAUAACUAACCUAACAAAACAAAGCCUCGUGGCCGCAGACAAACAUAUCUAAUAACCAAUCAAUAAUACAAGGAAGCAACAAAUAGAUCCUCAAAUAAAUAACAAAGACAAAGUCCAAAUACAGAAAAAUUAAGGACUAGGAAUUUGGGAAGGUGCAACGGUGAAACUGAUCUGCUCUGAGCUAUGCCAUCUAUUCAAAUGCUUCAUCAUCGUCAUCUGGAAGUGGCUGAUUAAGGGCUUGUUGAAGCUCCUGUUCAUGCCUGAAUAAACAGA
rnacentral:lncRNA from 1 species